GGUAGGUGCCUGCUUCAUUCUUCAUUUUCCACGCAGACGUCAAGGCCGUUUCCCCAGGACGUCAUGGAGAGGUCAUUCUCCAGGACAGAAGGUCUGGGUUGUGGCUUUGAGAUGGCCCUGAGUUUGCUCUUUGAAAUGGGUGAGAUCUGUACCGUGCUGGCUGCACUGCCAACAGGGGACGCAUUCCUGGAGAGGUUCCAAGUGGGAAGUGGCUUAGGGCUGUGUGCUCUGAGGCUGGGCACCAGCUGCUCUAGGUGGACAGGCGUUUGAGGAUUGCAGGGGUUUGCUGUUUGCUUCUGGAAAGAGGAUUAAGGUAUUCCCAAGGAAGAAAACUUAGGGACUGGAGAACUCCUGUCCCAAGAGGGUUGUAAAUGGGCUAGAAGAUGGUGUUGCAGAAGAGAAGUUUGUGUGGAAGCUGAGCUCUGGAACAUUAAGAUUCAUUUACUUAAUUUUAAGGUCAAUUUCAUUACUGCUGCUGUAGUUUUCGAUUCCUGCAUGAUCAGCCAGACUGAAACACUACUUAUUUUCUCUUUAAUGUAAAGCAGAGGGAGCUCUGAAAAUCUGGAGACUGAUUGGGCAUUGUAAUAGUGAUUAUACUUUCCCAGUCCCUCGUGGAAGGAAGGCACUGAGUUCUCAGCCAGCACGGCAUUCCAAGGACCUCUGCUUCCUUGAGAUUACUGUGGACAUCUUGGUCUUCCCCUUGUCAGUUGUCGGGGAUCUGUUGAUAUAAUUGAGUGAUGGCUCCAUCCCACAUGGAUUUGUUACCAUCCUUGAGAGAGAAAGGGAGAGAAAUGUAAAGACUCCUAUUUAGCAGUCUAUAAAGCUCGAGUGUGAGCAUAAAAUGCAGUUGGUAAGAUAUCUGAAAGUUUCGGUCUCUUUUAAUGUCCAGUUAAAGGAGGGAAAGCAGAGUGGUGUAGAGAAGGCUUGGCAAGAAAGCAAGACUACUAAUAGCUCCAAUCAAGAAGAAAAGGAUCUUGGGGUGAUAAAUGGGCUUCAGGGUAAACCCUGUGCCUCACUUGUGCCUGAAAGCACUUUGUCAUUGGGUUGUUCCUUCAGCCCAAGAGUUUGAGAUUAAAAGUAUCUAAUUCCUUUUUUAAAUUUUUAAAUAUUUAGAUAUCCUUCAAGUCUUUCCCUGAUUAUGAGAGAGGGGGGGGGCUUACUUUACACCCAACUGCUUUUCCAAAAUAAGGCAACAUAUCACUGUAGAAAAGUCUAACCCUUUCCUUUGCAAGCUGUUACAUCUCCAUCCUACCGUCUUCCUGACUUUCCUCGGAUGGUGAUGUGACCCCCAUAUUACAUUCUCCUGGCUGUGGACACCUCUGGGAAUAUUUUUGGCAUCCGCACAAUGUAGAGAUUUAAGCUGCCAUCUCUCUGGAUCUAAGCCCAAGCUGAAGUUCUACCCACCCCAACCUGGCAGCCACAGACCACCUUUGGCAUCGUGCCUGAUAAAACAAUUAAAUGAUAAGGUUUGGGGCCGCAGAGGUGUCUGCUGCCUCUUUGUCACAAUCACAGUUGAUUGAGUUGUCGACUUAGUAGGAUAAUUCAGAGUUUUAGUUCACCUGUACACUGAAUAAGGCUGCGGCAUGAGCUCUUCUUGGAAUGCUCUGCCAUUUGUUGUGCAGAGGGAAAUGCGCUUGGAUGGGGAGGGAUUGGCAGCCACACAGAGCUUCUCCUCUGGACACUAUCCUGUCAACUCAGAGACAAGAGCAGUGGGAGAUUUCGGUUAUUAUGAUAGAUGAAGCCCGUGCCUCAGCAUUUCCUAUUAAUAUGGGAUAAUGGAGCACACAUCAAUGUUACAGGAAAAUCUUCUAAAGAGCAUAAAGAACAUGGGCGAUACUUGAAUAGUUUUUAUCUGCUGCGACUCUUGGAAGCAUGAGAAUAGGAUCCUAUUUGCACCUACAUCCUGAACAACACUUUCCUCAGCACCAGUGUGCCCUUGUGGGAGAGGAGAGGGGUAGCGUUCACAUAUGCGUCCCCCAAAGCACACACUUUGCUUAUUUUUAGAUACAUAGUCAAAGAGCUAUGGUUUUGUCUUUGAAAAGUGACAAGCAGAUAGGACAUUUUCCAGAAUCACGCCUGUGCCCUGACCAUUGAGUUCUCGAAACAUGGGUAGACUGAUUUAUCUUCUCCACCUCUGUACACUCUGCUCGGUCACUGUGCACAGCUUUCUAGCCCCAGUGCCAAACGCCCCAGCUUUUUCCUACCCUGACUCGCUAACCUGGCCACCUUCCCAGCUGCACAACCCUGGGUUAGCACAGUGAAUCAGUCUCCGCCCAGCACUCACUGUUCUCCAUUUUUCUUUGCACCUUGAUUCUGUGGCCUUCCUGAGGUCUGUUUGCAGCAGUCCCUGACUGGAACAAAGACCAUUCUGCUGGAUGGAGUUUGAACACAUUAUGGUCUUGCAUCUCUGGGAUUUUGUAGCAGCAUUUGGGUUUGAGGUGGGCAGGGUGCUCGGGUUUUUACCAGAGUGUGAAGGAAAGAGUCACUCCAUCUUCUAGAAGGGUCUUUGCAGAGCUUGUACAUUGCCAUCCACUGAGGUCAAUUUUGUUACAUUUAUUUAAAGCCAGCCCUUAUGAUCUACACACACAGAUACACACAGCACAAUGCUGGAAUAUCACAUGUUUCAAACACAGAGAUACACAUAUCACAAUGCUGGCAUAGCAUGUUUAUCAUCUUCUUAAAAAGAAGAGCAUUGAAAUUUAGAGAUUAAAUUAUCUUCCCUAAGUCAUCUGACCUUGAAGCCUAAGUUUGAAGUUCAGAGUAUCUGAACUGUUUGUCUAGAAGACAGGGCCCCAGGAGAACAGGGAAGAAAAGUCUAAACUACUCUGGUCCUGCUCUUCUCCUUCUUUCUGUAAUUAAUUAGCUACAAUCCCACUCUUCUCUGUUUUAGCAAAGUUCAAUAGGUGACCUUGACCUCAGUCAUUCUCAGGGCAGGGAUCUGAAGGGCCCAGUAUUAACGAAUAAAAUAUCAGUGGACCCAGGCUGAUAUCUUCAUCUGGUAUUAAUUUGUUCUGUGCCCUUAAGUCAUUUCAUUCCCCGUGUCCCUUAGAUGGUAACAAAGGCACAUUAAGCCUAGUAUUUUAUAAGCUCACAUGGAGACAAAUAAGACAUCACUUCAGAAAGGUUGUUGAAUGAUCAUAAUUAUGAUCAGCACCUGGAAAAUUCUUGCAAACUCCAGCCUUCCACAUCUGAAAAAAAUCUAGAAUUUAUUAUUAUUAUUAUUAUUAUUAUUAUUAUUGCCAAAGCAUGGAGCAGUUCUUGGCAGCUUUGUGGUUUUUUCUUCCUUUCAAUACCAGGUCUAUUGGAGAACAAAAUUAGCCUGCCAGUCACUCAGCAAUGUAUGGGCCUAAGGAAAUUAAGCUCCCCCUCUCUGAGGCUGCCUACCCCCAAGUGCCAGAUACCAAAACCCUACACUUGCCUGCCUCGUGUUUCUGGUCCCAGGUCUCCUUUCCCACUUCCUUAAUUGGAGAAUUUUAGCCAAACAAAUGGAGUACAUUUGAGAUGUAGUUCCAUUAUCUCCAAAUCAAAUGUUCCAGAAUGCAGGUGAUAUGAUGGUUGCUGCUCUCUCUUUCAUCCUUCAAAGUUUCUUCCCCACCCCCAACCCCUGUCUCCAGACCAGCCACCAUCAGACAUCUGUGACCAUCCUUUGAUGUCUGGCAGAAAGACCAGGAGGAGGCUAUGGCUCCAAGACCAUUUUGUGGUCUAAUAAAAGAGAUCAGGACCACUCAGCUCAUUCUCUUGUGUAGAUGACCUUAAAUACCCAAAAUCAAUGGGCUUUAUGCCUCUGCUGGGCCCUGGACCAGAAUCCAUGUAACUGCUUCCUGCAGCUCAGGACUAGGUACUGGACUGGCUGUAACAAAAUCGCUCUAAAUGCUUCCUGUGUUUGCCAGUGGCAUUCACCCUUUCCCUUCUGUCCCUCAGGGAAAUUAAGAAGGGCUUCUGCUGCAGAUUGACAGGUGGAGGCAGCUGCCUUGCCUUACCUGUCCUUUCCAUACCCCAUCUCUGGAGUGAGUUGUCUUAAUCCUGACAUUUGCCCAGCCUUUUAGAGAGAAAAAUCUUUUUGUACAGCACAGUAAAAAGAUUUUGGGUACACAGUGGGGGCACUGAUGUGACCUGCCAAGGAGACUUCACGGCAAGUGAGGGAUCAAGAGCUUUAACCAAACUCCUAGGUCCCAGUCACGUAUCUCUCCAAACUGUGCGUUGUUGAAUGCCCUGGCCACUUGAUGGCUUCAGAAUGGAGACAGAGCUCUUAAAAGAAGUCUUUAAUAAAGGCAGAGGACACAUGGCUGGGUGCAAAUCCAUUGGAAGUGAUUAGGACAGAGACAAAGAAAGGAGAGGCAGAGGCUGGACACACACAUGGCUCAGCUGUCAAGAGCAAACACUGCUCUCACAGAGGUUGUAAGUAAGUGAGGUCCCUAGCACCAGCGUAGGUGCCUCACGACAGCCUGUGAGUGUAGCUCCGGGAGGUCUGACCAUAUCUUCUGGCCUUGUCAGACACCUGCACUCUCAUGCACACAUGCACAUACAGAUACACAAGAUUAAAAUAAUAAAAUUUUUGACAAACAAACAAAAACUAAGACAGGAAAGGCAGUGUGGCCCCAUGGAGAAGCCAGGCAGGGCUAAGCCGCUCAGAACUGUGCCUGGACCGUGGGCUUCCGGGCUCUCAGAUUUGUGCACCUUACGUUUGUGUUGUUCAGUCUGUGGCAUCUUAUGUGAGAGUUCUAGAAAAUGAACGUGGGCAUGAGAGAGGUUUGAGACUCAGCCUGAGCAUUUGGGCAGAAAGGAAAGCUCCUCACACCCUCAGUGCUGAGCCCUGGAAAGGAGGCAGCCAUGCAAGUUCAAUUCCUGCUCUGCAGCGUUUGCUUGGCAUAAGCAAGCCACCGUUUUGAUCCGAAGUCUCCUUCCUAUGCAAUGGGUGUAAACCAUCUCUACCUCUCAUGUGAAAACUGAAAGCAUUAGUCACAAUAGAACAUAACUGUCUUAGUCAGGGUUUCUAUUCCUGCACAAACAUCAUGACCAAGAAGCAAGUUGGGGAGGAAAGGGUUUAUUUGGCUUACACUUCCAUACUGCUGUUCAUCACCAAGGAAGUCAGGACAGGAACUCAAGCAGGUCAGGAAGCAGGAGCUGAUGCAGAGGCCAUGGAGGGAUGUUCUUUACUGGCUUGCCUCUCCCGGCUUGCUCAGCCUGCUCUCUUAUAGAACCCAAGACUACCAGCCCAGAGAUGGCACCACCCACAAGGGGCCUUUCCCCCUUGAUCACUAAUUCAGGAAAUGCCUUACAGUUGGAUCUCAUGGAGGCCUUUCCUCAACUGAAGCUCCUUUCUCUGUGAUAACUCCAGCUGUGUCAAGUUUUCACAAAACUAGCCAGUACAAUACCUCACUUGAUAUCUAGUUCAUUGCUUAUGUUUUGUAUUCUAUGGGGGUCCAUGUAGCCCAGGCUGGCCUUCAAGUCCAGCUUCAAUCUACCCGGUGCUGGGAUUACAGGUGUGAGCUAUCAUACCUGGUUUAUUUGGGUCCGUGGAUACAAUCCAAUGACUCGUGCAUAUUAGUCAAGUGCUUGACAACCAAGUUAUAUCCAUUGUGACUUCUUAACAGUGAUUGAAUAAAUAUUAAUAGUAAAGUGGUGUCAUAAUAGGUGGUAUAUGCUAGGCCUGACACUGAAUAUUCUUCCAGGUCUCUUGACUGGAUCUGGCAUUUUCUGUUGAUAGUUAAAGAUAACACAGCUGCUCUUCUCCCUCAGGGCUACUGACUUCCUUGAGCAAGGGUUCCAGGGUCCUAGAGGGGAUGCUCUACCCUCUGUCUUCUCUCUGCCGCUGUUCACCAAUUGUUGGACUCACUGCCUUGGGAGGGGAACUGCCUUGAAUUCAAGGCAUUUCAUAAAGCCAUGUGCAUUCCACCCUGACUCCGCCUCCUCCUUUCCAUUCCCAGAAUAGUCUUUUAUUAAAGAGAGCCAGGAGUUACAGACACCUGAAGCCAGACUCCUAAGGAUGUACUGUUACUGAUCAUAAAUAAAGCGUCUCCAACAAAUGCAUAAGACAUCAAAAGGGUAGGGGUCACCUGCUCUGGCCUCUUCCUGUCCCUCUCCAAUGCACAGCGCUGGCCCCUGGCUAUGGGAACCCUCCCUGGAAUUGCUAAUAUCGGGAAGGAGAAAAGCGCCCAGCAUACACAUUGGAUCCUAACAUCCUGAGAUGGAAGAAGGCUGGAUCUCUAGCAAUGAGCUAAUUAAAAGCCAAAAGUCUCUGAGGGCAUUCCCAUUGUGUGCAUAAGAGCAAGGGGCAGGGACGUCUUCACUCUCUCCACCUGCCAGAUGACACUAACGUCCAGACACUUAUGAACAAGGAUGCACUCAGAGAAAGGAGAAGAAUGCCCUAGCCCCAGUAGGGACCCUUUGCCAGGGAGUUUGACAUUCCUUCCCAUUGGCAGAUAGCUGAUGUGCUACUGUUCGCAUUCUUGGUAGGUAAACAUCUAGAGCAGAUAUUCCAAGAUAUUUUCUUCCCCCCAACACAUCUGAGAGAUUUGACCUCAUUGGUUGGGAUCUAGAGAUACCAACUUUUUUUUUUUUUUUUUUUUUUGCAAUGAACAGACUAUGGGGACCCAGGACACCAUUGAAAAGGAGGAAGCCAGUGCUAUGCAUCUCAGCCUCAAUGCUCAGUGCCACAGUGUUGGGAAAUGAAUGGGCUUGCUGAAUGGCCUGAGAGAUACUCUCACCCAUGUCUCUGUCCUUAAAUUGCCUUGAAGCAAUGAACCCAGAUCCUUUUGUGGAGUCUCUGAGUACUCGCUGACUCACACGUCUCCUUCUUCCUGUGCUGUGUCCACUCCAGCCAGUGGACUCAGCAUUAGCCUUUGGUCUGUCCGUAACUACUUCUGUCCCUGUUGCACCAAGCGAUCCUUGGAGAGACUUUGUCAGGUGACUGUGUGCUUGUGACUCUCUUAAAGCAUGUGUAGAUGUGUGUGGGUUAAACUCAUCCUUCUCAUACCUUGCAUUGUUUUGUUUUGAGGCUGGGAAAGGUUGUUUUCAGAGAGCCAUGAAGGCGCCAUUCCUUAGCACUGUAGCCCUGGGGAUCCAGUCUGAGCUCUGGAACUUAGGUGACACAUUCAAGCUGUAACAUAAUAUCACCUGACAGUUGAAGAUUAAAGAAAAAUUAAAAAGUCGAUUAUAUGUUACAAGUCUCUAAGUCCCCAGGCUGUGUCCCUUAACCUACUCAGCUUUGAGUUAAGAAAGGGCAGUGCCAGGGCGACCUCUCCGAUGAGCUCCGCUGGCUCUCUCCUGGCUGACCAGGGGUGAGGUGGGAAACAUGAGUCUGAAGCUAGGAUUUAGGAGGAAGAAACUUUCCCUCUUCUAAUCCCCAAUUUCGGACAAACAUGGGCCCAGAAGUGAGUGAGCGAAUUAAAUUAACGAACACAAUUUCUUCCUGUCAUUGAACUCUGACUAAUGAGUCUAUUUCUGGGUAAUAAGAAGGAGCAGGAAGUGACAAGGCAGCGUAAUGAAUUAGUGGCCCAGAACCUCGUUAGUCAGAAUAAUCUCUCCACGAAAGAUAAAUGAUGCAAACAUUAAUUAUAAAGCCAGGGUGGAAAUGCAUCCCAUUAUUUGGCUCCCUAAGAAAUCUAUCCCAGUUAUUAUGAGGCAUCUCAGACAUCAACAACAGUGAUAAAGUAAGGGCUUGAUACGAACUCUAGCCUGGGUAGCCUGGGGGAUGACGCACUCCACUGGUGGUAGGUUCCAGUGGGAGGGCAAAGGAUUUGCUCCGCCUAUUAAAGGGAUAGUUGUAGGACUCACCAGCUGUGACUCCUGAUUUUUGCACUAGGAAACAUCUGUGUAUGGUGGCUGUUUCUCCAGUCAGCUCACUCACAGCCUAGCAUUCGGGUCCAUUAGAGCCACAGAGAAGUGACUCUUCCUUGAGACACCCCUACCCUUGUCUGGGUGCAUCUUACUCUUUUCCCUAUCAUCUCUCUUUUCUCUGAUCCUAAAGCUUAAGAUAGACAUUUUUAAAACUGUCUUAACAAACCUCCUCUCAGAGAAUCCUCUUUGGAAAGCCCCUCUUUUCUGAAAAUUCUGAAAUAUCUGAACAAUAUUAAAAUUUCUUUAAUAAAACCCAACUCUGCUUUGUUUGUUUAAAGACCCAAACGUUGUUUAAUUAAUUAAUUAAUCUUUUAGUUGAGGCAAAAGGUUCAACAACAAAACAAAACAAAAACAAAACAAAACAAAAACACUUAAUAACAAAAUAUCAAUGAAGCCAAGGGGUUUGUUAGAAACACGAACUCAAUUUUAAAAUGCAAUUCUUGGGUCAUGGAGAUGGAGAUGAUCCAGUGUGUUAAACCAUUGACGUGAAAGCAUUUCCCAGACUCCUCCAAAGCCAGACAUGGCAGCUCAUGUUUGUAAUUCCAGUUCUACUAUUGUGAGAUGGGCGGAUGGGAGGCAGAGACAGGAGGAUCUCUCCAGACUUGUGUGUGCACCACAGUAAAAAAGAACCCCUAGUAAAAGGAAGGAGAAAGGUGAGGGCUAAUACCGAAGGUUGUCCUCUGACCUCUGUGUGCCCAUGGUGGGACACACACACACACACACAAACUCAGAGAGAGACAGAGACAGACAGAGAGAGAAGGAGAGAAAGAGACAGAGACAGAUAGAAAUAGAUAGAGAGAGGGUGGAGAGCUUUAAGAGGUAGGGGUGGCUCAAAACCAUAGUGCUAUAGAUGAACUAUCAGCCAGAAUUUCCACACUGGUUCUGUGUGCUUGGGGAAGUUCCCUGGCCUUCACUAAGAAUUAUUUUGUCAUUAGUGUCUGGCAGUAGGCUCUCUGGCUAAGAGGGUUGUGUGGAGCAUUGAGUGGGUUGUACCCAAAAGACACUCACCGUCUACUCAGUGGUCCAUGCAUGCCACCCCCCCCCCUACUGUGAUGCCCUUUGCCACAGGUGGACAUCAUGAGGAUCCUUUGCAGCACAGAUGAGGGUAGAACCAAGUGUAUAAAGCUGGCAUACCACGCCCUGGAUGCUCUUCAGGGGCAGGACUUAGACGCAGAGCCUCUGGGCCGCUAGGCUGGGGACUGGGUGGGACCGUGUCAGCUCCUGGUGCCCUUUACUGCCCAAAAUUCUGGUCACAACCCAGAAAGCCAAUAAGGAGGCACAGAGGGAGGAGGAAGACUUGACCCUGAAGCUAGUGGAAAAGGCUGAAUCGGUAGAAAGAAAUGUGGCUGCAGAGACGUCAACCAGGGUAAGUAGUAUAGGGUUUAUAGCUGUAGUCCUAUCCAGCGCCAUGGUAAUAAAUCUGUCCUCGAGCUCACGGUUUCCAGGGUCCUCCCCGUGGCAGGUGGGGAGGACCAGCAUUUGAGGCAAAGCUGCAGAUUCUCUGAUGAGCCUCUUUCUAGGGGGACUCCCAGCUGAAGUGGAGGCCGAGGGCUGCUUUGGCUUUUAAGGCCCAGUUGUUAUCUGGCUGGCAAUGCUUGGUAAUGAGAAAAGAAGAAACAAUUAAUUGAAAGUGGAUUUUAAUUGUCUCUGGCUUCUUGUUUGUAGGCUAUUAAAAUGAGUUUCUUAUUAAGCUAUCACAUCAGGCUGCCUGGCUGCAGGAUGGCCCCAUAAUGCCCUUCACUCCCAUUCUGGCCUCUGAUUCACUCCCGUCUGCCUUGGCGAAAAUCAAGUGCUUGGAUUUUAGUAGAAUACAACAAAAGGGAAAAAUAGGAAAAAAACAAAAAACAAAAAAACAAAAAACAACAAAAAAAAAAACCAUAAAAAAAAAAACCCAUCUUGAUGUCAACAUCUUUGAUUUAAAAAAAACAACAACUAAAGCUCACAUGCCUUUUAUUAAUAAUUCUUUGGCCUUCCAUUUAUAAACACAUCUGCAAUCCCAGAGGAGGGCUGGUCAGAAAGGAACACAAAUGGAUCUGGGCGUUGUUGCCAACUGGUUACUGAGUCCCUGCAUCAGAGGCUCAAGGUAGAAAUGGACAGGGCAGAGAAAGAAGGUGGUAUAGGCGUGGAAAAGGACAGCUAGGCCAUCAUGUGCCCCUCUCCUGUCCACCCUGCCUAUUGCUGUGGCCCCAGUGGUGUGCUGAGGUUCCCUGCCAUCAGAGAUGCCAUCAGAGAUGAUGGGGAUGGGCUGAAGCCAUGCCAGCGGGACCUUACCUAGGACCCAGCACUCACUCUUCUGGUUGGAGGCUUUGACUUCAUAGAUCCUGAAAACCUGUCCUCAGCCCCAGGCAUCACACAGCAAGGAGCAACCGGACUGGAAGCCAUUUCCUCUUUGCUUUAACUCCUUUAUCUCACAGACACUGGGGCGCCUGCUCAUGUCCCUCUGUCCAUCCCCAACCCGGCCCUCAUCUCUCCAGCCCUCCCGCUCAGCAUCUUACCUCUGCCAUCUUGCCUUCUCCAGCCUCGACACUGCAGUGCUAAGGCUUAUCUAUGGCAGCUCCGUUCCCAAGAUCUGCUGGAUGGCUUUUGGCCUCUUGCCUUUGAGCAACUUCCCUCUCAGCAACUUUCCACUGUGGCAGGACUGUUGCCUCCCCCCCUCCCCCUUGGGCAUGCAGAUGUAUGUGUAAUCAGCCCGCAAGGCUGCUUCCACCCCUCAGCUCCCUUGGGCACUAUCUGGCUUCUCCUUCCCAGCCCCAUGGCUGCACAAUUUAUUUAUGGAGGGCCAGGGACACCUGUCUCUUUUCAUCUAAAUUACCUGCAAACUCAGGGGAAUCGUCUUUAGCUCCUGCUGGCCUUGGCCUCGUUCACUACGGGCUGAAGAGAGUGCGAUUGGAUGUAUGCUGACUCCGGGCUGAGUCCUGACUUUCCUCCAGAGGAGACCAUCUUUGACUUGGCAGAGUGAGCCCAUGGCUCAGAGCCCUGCAAGACCAGCCAAGAGUCAGCGGUAUCUGAAGCUGAGGCCUUGAGAAGAUCUGCAGGUCACCAGAGAUUGACAGAAUUGCCAGGCACCAAGGGUUGAUCGAAGAAAUUGUGUCAAAAGUGGCAGAGGAAUGUGUCUCCUGAGGGCUUUGUGGGUGGAUGAAAUGUCCUUGGUGGGGGCUGGAGCCCCUUUGAAAGUCACAUAAAGGUUGAAGGUUUGGUUCCCUAGGAUAGCAGCAGAUAGUCUGCUCAGGAAUAAAGAGAUCCAUCUUCUUGACCCAACUCCAGGGUACUGAGCUAGCCUUGUCAUCUGCAUCAUAGCAGUGGAUAGCCCAGCACACUGGUGAUUCUUUACUGUGCUAUGCUCAGCUGUUGACCCUCUCUUUCCUCCUAAAUGUAUCGUGUGGAUCUGAAGCAGACUGGGGCAAGGGAGGGCAGGUCUGAGUGUAGCUGCCACAGGGGUGUGAGUUCCUCUUCCCCAUGAACACCUCAGAAGUAUGGGAGGAAGACAGAAGGAACUGCAAUGUGGGGGCCUUGCAGCAGAGCACAGACACUCGCAUGCCUUCAGGAUGCAGGCAGCCAAGCUGCUCCUCUAAAGGCAGCUACAGUUGCAGCAUACCCAAGCUUACACAGCAAACACACUCCAAGCCACAGAUGAGCCCAGUUCCACAUGACUUGGAAAGCAGGGUGAUACCCCAGCAGACGCGUGGCUGCCCAGGCAGCUGGUACUCCCUACAGUCCCCCUGAUAGUCCCCAUCAUGUCACUGACUCUUGUCAAGGUCUGACUCAAGCUGCCUGAUAUCAUUGUCUCUGACUACAAUGACUUGAUCAGCAAGGAUAGGGCAGGGAAUUGCGUCUCAAGGGCCAUCAGGUGACAGAGAAGGCUGUAUGAGAGUGCCUUGAUCAGGUGAGUUUUGUAGAACUCUUGGUACAUGCAGGGGGCCUAGUGGAAAUUUCUAGAAUGGAAACACUAAAGACUUUGCAGUGCUGGGCCACUUGGAGAACCUGUGGAACUAGGGCUACCCAGGGCUCCUGGGUGGGUGGGUGGGUGGGGCAUAUUCUUGGUCUGGUAUUCAGCUAUAAGAUGGUGGUAGCCUCCUCCUCUCAUCAUAGCCUCCCUGAAAGGAGGCCCAUCUGCCCAGCACCCCCUUGCAUUUCUGUACACCUCAGGGAAAUAUUUUCUGAGAAGUGCUAAUUAUCCCCCCCCCCCCACCAUGUCUGUCUUCACGCCUGUGAAGGUGAGUGACUUUCUUCCUGUCUCCUUAUAGUAAUCCUGGUCACCCACCUAUCUGUGCAAAUGGACAAAGCCUCUGAUUAUGAAUGGCUCUGAAUGCUGCUGCAAUUGUGUUUGUUUCCUAUAGGGAAAUAUAGCAAUUGCUAUUUGUUCUUGCUAGGUGGAACCCAUGUGAGCAUCCAGGAGCUCUUAUAGUCACUGUUGGAUCCCUGCCAUCUCAGUUCUUCCUUGGAGGCAGGAGAGCAGAGCUGUUACAUGAACACAGCUUUUUAAAAGUAAAACGCCAGAACGGGGACUUGACAUCCCCAGUUAUGGAAAAGGAGGUUCCUUUGAGGGCCCUUCCUUGUGCCCAGUCUGUUGGUGACAGACACUGAUGGGUUGAAAAAGCAUAGAGAAAAGGGGAGGGGAAAAUAGCAUCUUGGGAAGAUAAUUGACUUUGGAAAAAUGCUAUGUCUGAGAUGGAAGAAGGAAAACAAGUGAAAAUAUGUUAUUUUACAACCUUGGUCCUCCUGACCUCAUUGAAAAUAAAUAUACACACAGCAGGUACAGCUUAGUGGAGGUCUAGCAUGGGGUACUGGCGCCCUCUUGUGGCCAUAGGAAAUAAUGCUCUCUUUUUCCUCUUUCUUUCCCUCCUUCCCUCCCUCUUACUGUCCCUCCCUUCCUCCCUCCCUCCUUCCCUUUCUCACUCCUCUAUCUCUUCCUCCAUGAGUAUUUGGUCUCUCUCUCUCUCUCUCUCUCUCUCUCUCUCUCUCUCUCUCUCUCUCUCUCUCUCUCUCUCUCUCUCUCUCUCUCUCUCUCUGUGUGUGUGUGUAUACAUGCCCAUAGUUACCAAUAAAGAAGGUACAUUGCAGAGAGGCGUGUUUGGGCAUCCCCUGAAUUCAAACUAAAAUGUUUUGAGAAAUAACUGCAGUUUCUUGUUUUCUCAAGGCAUUUUCAUACCAGAAGAGGAGAUGGUGGCACUGAAGAUAGGAAACCCAUUCUUAAAGAUUAGUUUGCUGUGUGUGUGUGUGUGUGUGUGUGUGUGUGUGUGUGUGUGUGUGUGUACAGCCGUCGUGGUCUCAGCUUCACCAUUUGUAAAAUGAUGAACUUGAACAGGGGAACAGGGUUACACCUCAGUUUCUUUUGGCCCAUGACAGCCCCUGAGGAAAAGCCAGGCUCUAGGAAGCUGCCAAGCCAUGACAAUGACCUAGGAAUGGAACUCCUUGCAUUAGAAUUGCAACAGCCUUUUGUUUCCAUUCAAUGGUGCAAAAUAAGGUCCACGUUGAACCCACUUGGCAAGCCUAAGUUCCCUGCCUGCUUACCUGAAAAGCUCCAUCUCUGAAACUCUCAGAAGGAGACACAAAUCUUCCCUUUGAGAGGAUGCUACCAGGGACCCCCACCCACCUCACUGAAGGAUGGGUAGUCACAGAGCUUAGAGAGUGGGCAUCACCCUGAGCUCUGGAUUAGUUUUCAAAACACGGGCUAACUGUUCGUGGGAUUUGAUCUUUUAUCUUCCCCUUUAUUUGAAACUCAACCCAAUACACUCACCAGUGAAAUGAAAGCUCUCUGGUAAGCCAGGCACCCCACAAGGUGCCUCUUUCCUUCUCCAUCUCUCCAUAUGUGGAGUCUUUUGUCUUUUUGGAUGUUUAGCCUGUGUGCAGACCUCCGCCUUCACUGGUACUCCCACCUCUUGGGCCUCCACCUCCAGAUCCAUCUUUGUGUUUAUUGUAGUGUGAGACCAAAGGAUCUUUGCUGUGGAAACCCCUGGGAUACAGCUGUUCAGCAAGACAGUGAUUUCCCGCGGCUACACUGUUUUAUUAAGUGUGUUAAACAGCCAAGCAGCUCAUCUGUCAGCCACUGUUUGUCAACUGGUUAUCUUGGCUGUCUCCCAAUAGAUAAGGGGUUGUUUCCCCAACACAUUUAAAAAUUCUUAUUACUGCCUGUGAUGUGACUUCACUAAUGUUAUUAUUAUAAUUCAUUUGUAUCUUACACAGGCUACAAUACAGACCAACCCUUUGCCAAGUACAUCAUCAUAACUGUUUGAAAUGGUGGCCAUGUUAAUAAGCAAUUAUUGUCCAGCUGUGGUGGCACAUGCCUUUAGCCCCAGCACUUUGGAGGCAUAGACAGAUAGAUUUCUGUGAGUUCAAAGCCAGCUUGCUCUAGAUAGUGAGUUCCAGGCCAGCCAGAGGGACAUGGUGAGACUUAAAAAAAAAUGUAAAAGCAAUUGUUUCUUGUUGAGGGCCAAUUAUGGGAAAGAAACUUUAGUUUCAGAGUCUUCUAUUUGUCAUGGAUGCUCUGGAAUUAGGGUAGUGUGCUAACUAGUUUUAGUAGGUGAAGACCUGAAGGCUCAGCCAAGCUGAAAUGGUUUCUGUGGGUUGUCAAAACUACUGAACUCUAGAAGAGAUGGAGAGAGGCCUGCUUCUAAGUCCAAAGGCUUGACACCGUUCAUGGUGACCUUUCUCUCUUUGGCCAUGUCCCUGACCUUUCUCCAUUUGGCUUCUUGAUUCAGAAGAGUCACUGGCCACACAUACACACACACACACACACACACAGACACACACACACACACACACACACACACACACACACACACACAGAGCUGAAUAGUGGACCUCAAAGACCAAUUGUCUCUGAAAUAUAUAAACCUAUAGGAAGGAGUUGUUUUGAGUUACGUAAAUGCUACUGGGUGGGAAAGGAAUGAGUGAUUUUCUUUUUAAUUGCAUAUGGUGAAACCAUGACACCUGGGCAAAAGUGAUUUCAAAACAAUUAGCUCUGUAUAAAAUAAAUGUGCCCUGUCUGAGGCACCACAAUACAGGCUUUUUCUGGGUUCUCCCACCAGAAGCAUGCACGAGUGUACAUAUCACACAUGUGCAUGUGCAUGUACUUAUGUGAACCUGUGGGUAAGCAUGCAUGUCUGUUCAUGCCCGCGGAUGUGUGAGUGUGAAGUAGGGGUGCACUCAUGCGCACAGGGAAAGCAGCCAGAGGGAGAGGAAGGAGUUAUCAGAGAACCUGUAUGAGGCUAUCUCUGGGACUUCUCAGGUUAUCCCGGCAAGGCACUACCACCUGGAGAGAAAGAUGGGCGUGGUUUGGUAGGCUUUUGCUUUCUUGUUCCAUACCAACCCUUUGAAAAUGCAGCCAGAGCACUGAAGCAUCAAGGUUUACCACAAGCAGGCGUCUUCUUACCCAGGCCGGCACACUAAUGGGAUCUGGGAGCAUGCCACAGGAGUCUACUGCUGUUGUCUUGUGUGCCGCGUUGGCGUUGAUGCCAGCUCCUCCAGAUGUGCCUGAUAUCUCUGUGCCUGAACGCUGACCCGUCCAUUUAGCUGCAUUCAGCUGUCUCGUCCUUUCUGGUUCUUUUAAUGUGGAAGUGCACUGCAGCCUUUGUCUUUUCUGACGUUGACAGUCUUGACAGUGACAGACAGACUAUUCGGCUGUGCUGAGUGCUUUUCAAACGUUGCGCCAAUCAGCAACAAACAGCUCUGAGUCUAGCACACAGGAUAUGCUGACUUCAUGUAGCUGGGAUGACAGGGACCCCGUGGACGGUGGCCUGGACCCUCCUCCCUUGCUUUGAGAACUCCCAUCCCCGUGGGACUUUGUAGGUGCCAAGGGACAGGUGAAACAGGCUUAAGUGCCCCUCUGGCCCUUGGGGACACUUGAGUUUAUAUCAGUUGCCCACUUUCCAUGAAUACUUACUUUUUCAUUUCUGCAGUCAAGCCUCUCCCAGUACUAAUGAGAAUUAAUUGGAAUGUUAUAAGUGAAAGUCUUUAGUAAACUAUAGCAAAGUGCUAGACAGAUGCAAUAUAUUAUUAUUUAUUAUUAAUAUGCCAGCCAGGCAGCCUGAAGCUACAACAGCAUAGUGAAAUUGAGAAAAAAUAAUUUUUUUUUGAAAUCCAGAGAGUGGGGCUAUCCAGACAGGAAUGCUGAAUACGCAGCCCUACCCAGGGCCUCCAUCAGGGCCCCUCCUGUGUCACCUCCACUGCGCUGUCAUACUGACAUCUGUGAAGGGCCACCCUGCUCUGAGAACCAAAUGGCAUUCUCUUGACACUCCUGAGCACUGAGCUGUCACCAGUGAGGGACAGAGAUUGUUUCAGGGAGAGCAGGUUAUUCAUGCAGAGUUACAUAGUCAGGAUGGGUUUGAGCCAAGAUGCAUGUUUGCGGUGUCUUUUGAGGGGCAGAGGCGGGCUGGAGCUGUGUCAGUUUGCUCUUCCCGAGCCACCCUUGGUACCCCGUGACAUACAAAGGCCUGACAUGGAAUUGGUCAGCAGGUCCUACUCUACUGUCACAGAUCUGCCGAUGUGCAAGCUAUCCACUCUCUUUCAGCAGGCCCUCAGUUGUCCAUUGAUAUGCAAAUGCAUGCUAAUAAACUUUGCUGUUACACUUGGUGACCUCAGUUUUAUUUAUCUAUUGACUUGGUCUGAAGGACUCUCUAAGGAAUUCACAAGCAUCAACUUUCUCUGGGGACUCUGGGCCAGGCACUCUCAGGCCAAGGAUUGGAGGGCAGCUGAGAGCCCAGAUGCCUUCGUCUUUGGACAUCCUUCUUUGGAGCAUCCAGUUUCUCCAGGUCCGGACAGACUGUCUGAUCUUUCUGUGGUGGAUGACCAAGCUCUCUAGCUCUGUAAACCUAAGUGGUAUCAGCCAGUGGGGCAGCGUCUGGAGCCCCCUCGUUACCCUUCCAGGCUAGAAGGAGCCAGAAGGCACAUACGAUUUAGGAGGAAAGAUCUUCUGCAUCUCCUUGAUGCAACACACAGAGAGGAAAGUGACCUGCCAGUGACCCUCUCAGUGCUGGGUAACCAUCCCAGAAUCCAGGAAGCACUGGCAGAAACCUGGAUCUCUAUGUGGAUUUAUUUCAGAGUUUUCAGGCACAGCAUUGUCCAAAACCUCUGCCCACCCCCCCCCCCCCGCCCCAAGACUCUCCGCCCUAUCUUUCUUCUGCUAUACCCUCCUUUUCCCUCCUUGUUUUCCUUUCUAUGGAUUUAUUUAUUUAUUUAUUUAUUUAUUUAUUUAUUUAUGGAAGGGGGUUGUCAUGAGUUCUGUGGGCCUUCUGUCUGUGACCUUGCAUCCCCGGACUUAUAACUAACUCUGGACUUAAACGGGGGUUUAAGCAGGAGUGAGGUGGGCCAACUCAAUCAGGAGACUCUGGCAAGAUUGGGUGGCAAGAACCCAGAAUACCUUUCACCAAGACCCAUUUUUAUGAGUUCGGCUUCCUCAGACAGUCUUCCCCAUACUCGCUACCUCUCUCGUGUUACAAGGUUGCUUUUGCAAUGGAAGCCGUCCUUUCGGAAAGUGCUUAAGGAGAACAGACUCCCCUGGACCUCCGCUGGUGCUCCUCUAUGACCUGCUCACAAAGGGAAGUCAGCCCCAUCCUUCCCUGUUCAGGCAACAGCCUUCUCUCUUGCCCCACGUUUCCUCCUGCCCCCAACCUGCUCCUCUUACAUCCUGGAUGCAGAUAUUCAGUUGCUCACACUCCAAGUCAGAAGGUCAAGUGUUGUGCAUGAAGGGUGAACAGAGCAAGGAAAGAAAAGCAGGGUAGAUUUGAAAAUCCAGAUCAAAUACCGCGAAGGGCUUUUCUCUUGCCCGUGGGAUCCGAUCAGUCAGUGGCUUCCCAAGUAAUUGACUGAGUAGUCCAGGACUGGGAUCGAUUAAUCAUGCCUGCCUUGGCAAAGACAGAGAAGUGCUAGGGUUUUUUGUUUUUGUUUUUGUUUUUGCUUGCUUUCCAAUGGUGGUUCCACAGGGAGCUAUGGUCCACACAAGUCUGUGAUUGUGCAGUUCUGCCUGCUAUUUGUUUCCCAUUCCUCCCAUGCCCGUCUGACAGCAUUAGGGCCGUACGUUUCUUUACAAAGGUAGCAUGAGAAAGUGUAAAAAACACACUCUCGUCAGUGCUAUUCUAAACCUCCAACAUGUAAACUAGUGGGUCCCUGCAUACACGUAAAGACCCUGCGACUUUCAGGGUGGUGCCUCUAAUCUUCUUGGGGCAAGCUUGUGUGGGAGAAACACAAAUGGAGUUUUAGGAGGAAAAAAAAUAAUAAAAGAAAUGCGGGUGUUGAAUUGGGAGAGGUAUAGUGUCAGGUUUUGGCCAACUAUCUCUCUUUUUAACAAAGUCAUGGGAAGGUGACUCCAUGGAUUAGGAUUCUCUGGGCAAAGCGGCUUGAGAAAGGCCUAUAUUUUAUAGCAAGAUUCGGCGGCGGCAGAUUUUAUCGAGCAUCCGUAAAUCCCUCCUGGACAGGGGAGGAUGAAGCUCUCUGGGUGAGCCGUGAACCCAGGCUGAGACAGCCCUGGGGGCCCUGAUCCCCCCAUCCCUCUCUGCUAUUUACAUCCCUGUCUGCUGCAGCGUCCCCUCGCCUCCCUCUCCCGUGGCGGUGGCAGUGGGCUGCUCGUAAAAUUGACUUUGAGGAUUUCACUGAAAUGAAUUGGAAAGCUACCAGAUUUGGGUUGUUGAAGAAAAAUAGGAGUCCCUAAGGACAGGGACUCUGCGGACUUUUGUUUAGAUUCACAUGCUUCCCCGACCAGCACCAGCUGCCCCUCCCCCCCCCCCCAGGGGUCUGUCUUUCUGUCUAUGUGAUAUAUAUGUGUGUGUGUGUAAAUAUAUAUAUACUAUAUUUGUCUCUUUAGGUAGAUGUUUUUUGCUGUAUGUUUCUGUCUAUCUGUGUCUUCUUUCUUGUCCUGGCUACUCUGGCUGUAGAAUCAAAAUAAACGUAUACAAAUAGGCCGAGUUCACUCUGCUGCAUUCCAGAUUAGAGUUCUAAAAGGCUCCAGGUAUAGACACAAAAGCUACAAUCGUACAGAUACUUCUGACCCACACUGGAUUCCAGUGGAUGGAUCAACGGAGCCCUCUCUCCCCAGCACAGAGGCAUGAGGUCAAGCCUCCCGUGGCUGGGCAGUGUGCUGAUCACUACUGCUACCCUCGACUGUUGUUAUCUGUAUGGAACAGUCUGCGCAGCCUCUGUUUGCACCUCUCUCCCCCAUGGCUGUUGUAGCAACCAUUCCUAGACUUUCUUAAGUAAAAUAGCCACUGUCAUUUCAGGCCUCUUAGGGCAUUCUGUAAACUACAAUGCACCAAAAUGGGAGUCUCCUCUUCGGCAUAGCCCUUCUUUCUGCGACCUCUCUGUUACUAAGCCCUAGCUGGUAGAAGGGCUCCCUCCAUCCUCCCUGCUUCUGCACCUACGGCACAGAAGUGCGCCCUCUAGUGGAGACAAAGGACUCUGCAAGUCCUUUAACACAAAAAUAGCCGCCCAGGCAAGAACUGUCUUCCUUUUGAUGCCACAGAUGAUAGUGUCCUUUUAAGCCCACGUUGAGAAUACCCUGCUCCAGUUUGCUUAGUGUCUGCAAGUGAAAGAUACUUAAAUUCAUUUAAUCUCUGCCAGCCAGAUCUGAAGCCUGUCUUUCAGAAGGCUCCCUUCCAGCUCUUUAGCCUUUGGUCUGGGGUCCCUUCUUUCAACUAACUGAAAGAUAAACCCAGCAUCAACUGGGUCACAGGAGCUGUGCUCUGUGCCCACAAACAAGAAAACGUACCUAUGGGAUGUUCUAGAAUUCUAAUAGUGCAAAUUCCAUCCUAUCUUCAUUGUAAGGUGUGUGUGUGUGUGUGUGUGUGUGGUUGUUGUUGUUGCUGUUAUUGUUGUUUUAUUUCACCUAUACCUGUCCUCUGAGAUCACAGCUUCCUUUCCCAACUGCAAAGCUAGCCUAGAGUCUGUUUGUGCUAUUCCUAAGCAAAAGAAUGCUCGCAAAGUGUCUGUGAGUGGAUCACCACUCUUUGGACAGGAGUAGCUCCCCACCUUCUUUGUUCCAUAAAUUGAGGCAAGAAAGAAACCCAGAAUGUGUUCAUCACACAAGCUACUUCAGUGGGGAGCCCACAGCAGGGAACCCACGCUUAGAGCAAAAGGAUGAUGGAAAGUGACCUAUCCUCCAAGAUGAGCACACAAGUCUCCCAUCCAGGAGACAUAGAGGAUGUAAAAAAAAAAAAUGGGUCCCAGAAAAAUACAGAUGAGAUAGGUCCCCACUGAGUGUACACUGGAGGUACCGUGGAGACGCACACACUGGGCUGGUGGCCUUGAGUUUUGUACGGAGUGAUGGGUUUAUAGUUGCAGAAAUAGACUCCAGGUGUGUCUGGGGUUCAUCCUGUCAAAACGUUCAUGGCAAACUGCCCUGGGGAUGCUUGGAACAUGAAGCCACAAAUCCUGUCGUUAUUGCUAUGGAGAGGGUGUGGAUGGCUCCUCUGCAGGUGGCCUGACCCGGAGCCAGCAUCGGUGCUCCCAUUUUCAGAAAUCACACAGUUUUAGCAGAGAGCAGGCAGCUGGAUGUUAGUGACAAAGAUCCCCUGGGAGAAUGGCUGGGAUCUCCGUUGCAGACUGAGUUCCGUAAAUGUGCCCUCCCCUGCUCCUCCUACUGCCAUGGUGGUGGUGGUGAGAAGAAAGUUGGCUGGCAGAGGUGACGGUGGGGUGGGUGGGGUAAGAGGGUGAGGGAUGGAGUUUAGCGCAGGCGCUGAAGGAUGGAAGGCAGCAGCAAGAGGCUCUAGUGAUGGGACCAAAUUCUCUUUUUUCACGUUUCCCGGAGCUGGGUUCUUAAAACUCCAUCACUCGCUGGCCUGGCCAUGUGGGAGAUGAUUAGGGUUAGCCUCAUUCAAUUUCGCUUCCUCCACUAGUAAUAUUGAGAUCUUUAUCUCCUAAUAUGUUGGGAAGCAUUCCGGGAGGUCAGAUACAUGGCCGGUGGAACACAGCACACAGAGAGAAGCUUAGCCGCCAGUGCCACAAUAGCAAAUGUGCGUGCACACGGCUGACCGGAGCAAUCCUGGGAGGAUCUUUCUGGCUGAGUGACAAAUGACAUCCCAGAGAUUAUAAAGCUUGACCCUGGACACAGCAAGGUGGCUUCUGCAGGCAACAGAGCCAAUGCCAUCCCUGUUCUCCCCACCCCUGGCUGCAAAGCCCUUUCUCAGCAGCCGCCACCGCCACGGUGCUGGCAACAUUGUACUUUUGAUGCCUCCAGAACCUGGUCAUAGCUCCCAAGGAGUUCCAAGAACCAUAGGAAAGGGAGAGGAGGGCUGGCUGUAAUUGCGGUGUACACCCCUCCCCCCCAGCUUCCUUCUGGCACACAGAUUUUUAGCUCUGAAUAUACACUCCCCAGCGAUUCAGUUCUGAGCCCUGCAUCUGGCUCCCGGAACAAACACGCCUGUGAUAUGGGAUCAGCAGCCAUUGGCAGGCCAGACUCAGACCUUCACACGCGGGUCCUGAGAGUAUUCAUGGUGCAACAAGGACAGCUCAGCCAACAGCACCAGGAUGGGUGUGACUGCUGAGAAUAUUGUUGGGUUAGUCAGCUGACACCACCUGUAGCUGCCAGAGCUAGACAAUUGCUGUGCUGUUUCUCUUGCUAGUCACCAGUCUCUGGGCUCUGCUCUUGCGCUCCCCUGGUCAUGCACCUCUUUGGUAUCAUGCUCACACCCACAAACGCCUUUACACUUGCUGGUCUCCUUGUGAUGUUCCAUGUCCUAACAGCAAGAUAAUUUCUUCCUUGUAGCUCACAGGCUUAUCACCAAUUGUCCCUUAUCAGAAAUGUCUUCCACUCUCCACGUGUAGAGGAAACUACAUGAUGUCCCAUCUCUCUCCUUGAUUUACUGUCUUUUCCUUGGCAUAUACAGUACCUAGCACAUUAUACAUUUACUUGUUUUUAUCUGUUUAGUGUAAUCCCACUCAACACAUACAUAAGUUCCAGACAGAGUUAAUUUCAUCUAGAAUAUAGAGGAUUGGCACAGAGAAAACCCUCAAUGCAAGCAUUUUUAAUCUAGUCACAGCAUCAGGAGUAACAGGUCUGCUUUGUGGCCAUCUGUUGUGACUCUGGAUCAGCACGUCUGUCUGUGUCUGGCUCCCAAUAGUUUAUCAUAGCCAGGGAAAGGGCCAAGUAAGAUGCUUCUUAGCCAGUAGUGGAUGGGAACUUUGGGCCACAGAGACGCCCCAGGCCUUGCUUGUGUCUUAUCAGGAAUUCUUUGUCCCCUUUGUACACAUACAAGAACCCAACCCCACUUGGGUACAACCUCAAGGCUGGCCUGGAGCUGUGAAUGAAAAUGGGGUCAAUUUUAAAAAAGAACUCCUUUGAUGUUUUCAAAGGUAUGGAAUCAUUUCUAUCCUCUUUGGAGAACCACUUAGCUGUGUGUUGGAGGUUGGGGAAGGUUCCAAGUGCCAGAGAAGCUAAUUAGAGACAAUUACAGCCCAGGUACACCUGCCCCUGUAGGACGGUAGGAUGCAGAAACCAGCAGGCUGAGUGGUGGUUGGGUCAGAGGGUGUCGGAGGUGGAGCCAGGGCCAGAAGGCAUUUUAUAGCUCGAGAGGACAACCAGAUGCUUGGCCAGUACGGACUCGGCCUGAGGAGGGUGUGUUCCUUCUGUGGGCAUCUAUUGGGACAGGCAUUACCUCUGGCAUUGCUUUAAACAAUAAUUUUCUUAGGUCAAAAUUUCAAGAGGAGUGAAAAUUGUAACUGGGUGAAACAUGACGCCAUGUGAAUAAGGGUAUGCCUGUGGUCAGAUGCUAAUCUUGGUGCAUUGUUGAUCCACUAGGAAUACAUAUACAGAUAGUGUGUGUAGGGGUGUGUGUGUUCUGCCUUCCUCAGGCCCCCUUCUUAUUUAUUCCAAGCGUUUUAAUAUAGCACCUUGCCCUCUUUCAACUUGGGUUUCUGGGAAGGGGACAAAGGCCAGCUCCAUCCCCUUAGUGACCUUAUGAGGGUUACACAGAGCCUAAGGUUUGCAUCCUGCUGUGAUUGUUAACUUUCAGCGUCUGGACUGAAAAGAUGCUUGCUCUCAGGACCAGCACCCAGACAGCGACUGGCCUUUGUUACACAUUCUCUGUAAUCGAAAUGUCCCUCUGUGCCUCUCUGCUUCCUGGGUGUGGCAGCAUCCUGCACAGAGCCUGACUUGAAUGAGUAAAUGCUAACCAGCACUGGGAUGAGUCUUGGGGCUGCAUGGCUGUGGGUGAGAACUCAAAGAUGAAUAGGUAAGGAACUUUAUUAAAGGUCGGGGCCACUGGAAGAGAGGGACCAAAGGCCACAGGGAAGACAUGGCCUUCAGGCUGUGAUAUCUUGCCCUUUCCUUUGCCGCUGAUUCAUGGGUGGUCCUCAGGUCCCUGCACGUCCUCCAUUCCCCUACAGAUUUCCAUGUGGUGCCAAAUGCACUCUAGCAAAGCAAUCAAGUGAACAUAUCUUUAAAAGAAAACUCAUUUACUAAGCAGGCCUCUGGAGUACUUGAUGGAAUAGCCCUCCUCUGGAUGGAAAUAGUGGUGUAAUGGCCUCCCCGGGGUUAUUAUUGCACUGACAUUACAGCAGGCUAAUAAACCCCAGAGGGGUGCGAUGCAUACUGCCAGGCGGUCUCACAUCUGGAUAAGGGAGUCUGCAGAUGCAGGCCUCCAACCUUGCCUGCAGAUCCUCAGAUUUGUCACUAGAGGGCACCCUUACCCCCCUGUAGGGAAGACACUGCCUAGGAUGAAAGCCCAACUCCUUAAAAUGAAAAUGAGGGUUCUCAGACAGACAGGCAGGCAGACAGGCAGGCAAUCAGGGAAAGCAGCUUCCCUUUUCCUCUUGGUACCCGGGCUACAUUUGUAAAAUGAUUUGCAAAGCAGAGUUGGACAGAGGGGCGCAGCUCAGAUCACUAAGUCAGAAACCAGCAUGUAGGUGAUUCUUCUUAAAAGUCCUAGAUCAAUGCUUUCAGAUCCCAUCAGAUGUGUCGUUUUCUCUGUUGGAGAAGUCUGAGAGUUGAGCUCUAAAUUGGCGAAGGCAACACCGGUGGUCCUAGCACCUCUCUUCCACCGGUUUCUCUGGGGCUAUGCUGCAGGGCUGUGUAGGAGUUCCAUGCUCCUUGUCUUUCUGGAGUUUUCCCAUAGUUUUCAGGAGGGCUCAGUUCAUGCUGUGAAAGAAAUGUGGGUGGGUGCAGGUGAUACUUGUAGGGGGAUAUCAGCUUCUCCCUGGGUUUGGAGAUCCAAGUUGUUUGUCUCCCUGUCAGACCAAAUGGCUGCAUUCUGAAUUGAAACAUGGCCGCCAGUGUCAAGGGGCAGUACUCGGAUCUAAAGGACUGAGCAAAGAUUUUCUUGGGACAUCUAAACCACUGUCCUGUUCUGCAACAUACACUUUUAGUUGGUUCACUAUUUGAGUUUUAAAAUGAAUUUAGUUAGUUUUCGUUUUACACCAGCCUUGUCUUUGCUUAAAAACAAACCCUGGCCGAUGAAUUAGAUGUUUGCUGAACCAAGUCCCCAGCAGAGGAAGGGAGGGCAUACCAGUGAGGCUGUUCUACCCUGAACUAUUUAUGCUGCAUUUGAGAAGUGAGCUUUCCUUUCUCAUAUGGAUCUAGGUCAUAGUGAAAGGUAGGAAAUGAGUGGCCUCCAUUACCAGGUGCAGACACAGGCGGCUGGGGACUUUGCACUGGCCCUGUGUAGUUUGAGCCCUGAGAAACACAGCCAUCUCUAAAGUCUUGGAUGGUUAAGGAUCCCAGAGAAGGCACAGGGCGUUGGGAAAUGGUGGACCCAGAAUUUGUAGCCUUUCUAAUUCUAGCACGGGACAGUUAUUCUGUUAGCCUAAGUCUCGUGGUUUUUAAUUCAAAGACCAGCUCAGCUCUUGGGAGAGACUUCUAAGAUUUAUCUCGUAGAAUUCAAUUUCCCUGCAAAUGUUGCUUUUGCCCUUCAUCCCCCUGAAGGCACACGUUCCCUGACAGAUCUGAACACACUUGAGGUGACAGCCACCAGGAGGAGCAGGCCUCCAGAGGGAUUGGUUGGCUAAUGCCUCAGGCCAGGGGCAUUUGGGCCUUGCCUUAGUUUUCUUCUCUUUUGCUAAGCCACAAGCUAAGGCUCCUUCACGGCUCUGCCUCCAUGAUGAAGCACCCCAUUUGGAAAACAUCUCUGUUUCUAGAGGCACCAUGGGCAUCUACUUCCAGGCUUCUCCCCAUCAUCUUAUUACAGUGAUGUUCUGCCUGCCACAGAGGUGAGAAUGAGAGAGGGGCAACGUGGGAGAAAUAGAAAAGUCAUUAGACUUGCCAGCACCUUAUGCUCUGGCUUUCCUUCAGAUCACAAAAUCUAACAGAGUGAAACUAAAAAUAGCUCUGGGCUACUGACAGCCUGGUCCGUGCAGGCUCAUGUGCUAUGAACCUGACUCUGUCUUUCACGGCCCCCUCAUCGGUCUUCUAAGUAGAUGACAUUCUUGCUCCAUUUUGCUGAUGUGGAAACUGAGGCAUAGACAGAGAAGUUGGUUUGUUCCUAGACAUCCUUCAACAGAUCAGGGCUGCAUGGAUAAGCUGUAACCACUUCUCUUGGCUGGGUGCAAUGUCAGAACCCACUAGACUGCUCCAAUAUGGCCCAGAAGAUGGAUGGUACCUUGGCACAGGAUCAGGUCCCAUUGUGUUCCCAGUGCCUAGAGAGAUAAAGGAAAUCCACUCUACUGCUUCUUAGUGGUCAAUGAUGACAUAUGAGAAGCCAAGGCAGACAAUUUAAGGUCAACAAGGGUGACACGAACUCGGGGUUUUCUGUGCCCCACACAUUUGUCCCACCAUCCCUUCCCCCAGCCCAGGCAUGUGGGAAGACUAAGUGCCUGAGUCAAGGCUACACCACCUUUCUCAUGGUAGCUGGCACUCUGCCCUAGGUUACCCCUUCCCACACUUACCAUCUGCCAGCUCUCCAGAGAAACUUUGUAAUAAAAGAGAUUUUUCAGAUUUAGUAGAAAAAUAUCAUCUUUUGGUCACAUGUCUAUUUCCCAGGACAGAUAGAUUUUCAUUUCCAUUUAUACAUUUGUCACUCUGCUUUGCAUACAACGAUCCUGCACUCUGGCACUACGCUGUUUGUAGUCAAUGCCGGCAGAGGCGAUAUCCACCUGUGAGUCCUGUGAGUUAGACUCUGCUGAUGCUGUUUUACAAUGAGAGGGCGUGUUCAGAAAGUGGGGCCAUCAUAUGUCUUUUCUCUGAGUGUAUUCCAGGGCCUUUGUGUUUGUAGAACUUGACAGAGGAGCACCCAGAGCUCCCCAAAGAGGCCUUGAUUCUGGGUGGUUAGAGAAGUUGGAAAGAGAGGCUCCCUGGUGGAGUUAACACAAACACACACACACCAUCUGAGCUAUAAAGAAAAUUCUGCAAGUUCUAGAAGUCCAGGGUAGCGUCUUUUCAGAGGGAUGCAGAGAAGUGUGUCCCUGAAAAGAUCAGAAUGACACACAGCAACCCCGGAGGAGCUGCCAGACAAAGAUCAGUUGCCAUCCACCUGGUAGAGGAAGUCUGACCCACAGCUGGUCUGCAUAACCCCUUGCAUGCAUUUCCGCUAGGGUGGCCCUCGGGGACGCCUGUAUCCAGAAAUACAGAAGUAAAAACCAUGCAACCAGACACUGUCUUGUGGGGGAAAAGGAAAAAAUGCUCUACUCAACAGGCCGUGAGAAACAUGGCAUAUUCGGACUAGAGGCCCCCGAGGGUGAGGAGACAGUGUGGUUCCAGAAGAGGCCAGGCUGUGUGCUAAGGGAAGCCUUGCUCCAAAUAUCCUGGGAGCAAAACAGUCUGCUCUCCACUCAGAGUCCUAGGAGAGCAACACUACAACACCAGAUGGUCUGAGAACAGGGACCCAAAACAGGGGGGGUUGUGUCUCAGUAUCCCCAGCUGAGGCAGAGGAGAGGGGAGGUAAUGGCCUGAGCCAGAGUUUCAGAUGACACUCUGAAGAAUGCAUGACACAGCAUGAACUCAUAAAGUUCAGGAAGUAUUGUCAGCAUGGGAGCCUCCCAGUGUGACUGCAGCAGCUGGCCUCUUCCAGUAUAAGCCAGCACAGAAAGGCACACAGGCACACACAUGCACACAUACACGCACAUGCCCAUAUGCAGGAACCCAUAGUCACACACACACACACACACACACACACACACACACACACACACACACAAGUGCAUGUGCACACACACAUAUACACACCGUCUCAUACACAUACAUGCAUAAACAGACACACAGAUAUACACACAGUCAUCCACCCAUAUGCACAUACCUACAGUCACAUAUGUGCACACACACACAUGUACACACAGUCUCACACACGUACACGCACACAUGCACAAGCGCACACUGCCAUGGGAUAAAUCAGAUACAGGGGUUUUCAACAAGUGUGGAAGAAAGGCAGGGGUCCAGGGUCCAGAAGAUGGUUCCUGACACAGCUGCUUCCGUUGGGUACGGGGUAUAGGCAUGGUGUCCCAAGAGGCCUCUCAGCGUUUCUCUGUGAUUCAGUGGCCACCCUGAGCUCAUUUUCAGCUUGACAAGAUCAAGCUUAUUCAGGGAGCUGUCGGAACCCUACCCUACACCUCCCACCCCCUUGCACAGCCCCUGCUGCAGGGUAGGCCGACCUCACCACCGAGUUAUGUCUUAGGGAAGCCGCCAAUGCUAUCUAUCUCUCAGUACUCGGGAAACAAAUAGGAAUAAAGCAAGGAUAGCAGUAGCUCUUUGUAUAAAAAAUUGAAGACCAUAAAAUGUCAAGUCAGGGGGCUGGAGCCACCCAGGCAGCCCCAUGGGCACAUGGCUGCUGUCACAGAGAUUGUAUGGAGGUAAAGAGUGUCCUAGACAGGAUUAGAAAAGCAACCCCUACAGGGCACCUCACUGUCCUCUGGCCUCCAUUCUGGACCCCUAACCUACCCCCAGGAUUUCCUUUGAACCCUUUUUUCUCAGAGCUUCACAGUAAAAGUUGACUCCUUAUAGCCCUCAGAAUAAUGUUAUGGCCCAUUAAAGAAACACACACACACACACACACACACAGAGAGAGACAGAGACAGAGACAGAGACAGAGAGACAGAGACAGAGAGAGACAGAGAGACAGAAUCAGAGAGACAGAGACAGACAGAGACAGAGACACAGAGACCGAAACAGAGAAGAAAAACAGGAAAAGAAAGUUUGCCUCCUGCUUAGCAUCAGGGCACAGAGUACCUUCCCAAGGAUUGAAAAAUAAGUGUAGAGAACUGGGCUGAAAAUCAGUAAGCCAAAUCACUGUCCCUCCAUAAGAUCCUUCAGAACUGAGCGAGGAUGGGGGAAUGAAAGGGUUAAUACGGCAUGCUGGGAGUGGAUUAAGGAUUUCAGGAAGAGAUCAAGGGCAAUGGCUCUGAGCAUCCAGGGCCAGUAUGAGAUGUUUCGGCCAAGAAAUAGCAUGCCAGGGCAUUAGCUGAAUUUAGUUGGGAUUCUGGGUUUUGUACUGUCGCUAAUGAAUCUGUGUGAGUAUUUAUAAUGGGACUGUCAGAGCCACCGCCAGCCAAGACAAAUCAUUAUAAGUCAUCAUGGGCAGACCUGAGAGAGAGAUGGAGUGGGGAGGCGGGCCUGGGUAUUUGACCUUUCUCGGGGAGUUCCCUUGAGCCUGGCCUUUCAGGGGUGUCAGAGGUAGAUAGGAGGAACUGAACAGGAAUCAGGGAGCUCAGAGGUCCACAGCCUGGGUCAGCAAGGCUGAGGGGCACGGGGAUAUUCAGAGGAUCACUUUCUGUGUUCUCAGUUGUGCUGUCUCAAUGAGAGAUGGAGAGAAAAAAAUUUCUCCUGCUGAAAAAUGUCACCUUCAACCUGACACUGGAGCCAGAGCAUUUACAAAUCUGCCUGUCACCCCGACAGCCUGACAGAUAGCAACCUUAGCCGGGACUGAGUUAAAUCGCCACUAUACGUCUUGCAAAAAGUUUGCUCUCUUAAGAUUUUUAUCAUGGAGACAGGUUAAGGGAUGAGGGGCAUGGCUCCCAACAGGAAGGAUACUGGGGCUGUGCGCCUGUCUUCCCCGGAGCCCUGGCAGCUGCAGGAUUAUCUAUUACCUGAGGGGAGGUGACAGAAGAAAAUUACCCAGCCCCAGCCCCAUCUGUUGCUGAACACCGUUUAUUUCACCUUCACUAAUUCACUCGACGUGCCGCUUUCCCUUUGUCUCCGUGUCACCCACCCAAAUCUUACAUGUCUACGCUCCCGUGUUGCCAGCUGGACAUCGCAGCUGUGGGAACAAAGCCUUUGGGUCCCUCCAGUGAGCUGCAGCCCCUCUUGGGUGUCUCCUCUCCUCUCUGAAUUGUCAUUUCUCCCAUAACUGAUUAGGGACCGAAGGCAAGACGGGAGAAGCUAGGAUGAUUGCUUUUACAGCUCGGCUCUGCAGGUAGAGCACAUUUCUGUGUUUGGCUUCGUCUCCAGGGACGCGCCUCUCUUAGGAAGAGGUGGGAGAGUAUUAAUGAAAGAUAGCAGACCUGUGUUGCUGUGAGAGCAGCUGUAGACACUGGGCUCACUCUCUGGCAUUCAUAUUAUCCUCAGGUGCUUGGUCAUUGGUCACCGCCCAACUUCCGGUUUCUCAUACUGAGAGUAGAUCCACCGCCUGCCCUCAUCUCAGCUCCUGGGACUCGUGUAAUGAUUAAAUGAGAUAGUAUUGCAUUUCAGUGAAUAAUGCAGCAGCCGGCUCAUCGAAAGAGAGAAUAAAAAUAUCUUUCUGGUGGCUUGCUUAUAAUAAAUCUAUUAUGAUCGCUCACGGGAGUCACUGUUAUCAUUGAGCAAAUAAAAGCGAUCGCGAUUACCUUUCCCCCUUGGAGCAGCUGCCAUUUUUCAAGGUCUUGGCUACCUAGGAUUCUCAUACAACAUUUAUUGAGUUGGUUCUCUAUUUUAGCACAGCACCUUGUCUUAGAACUGAGAGAUUUGCAAACCGCAAAUGAAGUGCGAUUUCUGGGUCAGGGAGCACAUGGUCUGGUGGGGAAGCCCGCUGCAGAGUAGAAAGCCGGGGCCUUAGGCCUGUGCUGAAAAUGGACUAGGAGAGGGAGUUGUCGCACAAGGUCCUCAAUGAAAAAAAUGACGUGAGCUGGGUUGUACGCUUCUAUGAGGAAAGAGCCUUCGGUGGGGAGAAGCCGGGAACUCAUUGAAUACACAUAGCAAGACAGUGGGAGGAAGCCUAGGAGAACUGCAGAGCCCAGAGACCUCCGGAGAGCUGGGGGGCCUCAGGAAGGCUACAGGAUCGAAAGCAGCCUGGCCAAUCCACCCAAGGACACAGGCAGGGCUCAGAGUGAAGGAUGUGGUCAGAGGAGACUUCACAGACGAUCAUAUUUUAUUUUGUGCCAAGGACCCAGAGAUUCCCUGGAGGACAGUGAAAAUCAUUAAAGGGUUUUAAGCAAGAAUGAUAGGAUCAACUCCGCUGAGACGAUAGCUCAGGGCUGGAUGGGACGUGCAUAGAGAAACAAGGCCAGUUGACAAUAGAGAGGUCCAGAGCCUUAGGGGAGGAAGAGAAAGACAAAUUUUAUUUUUCUUGGUUUGCGGGCAAUUAGCUCCCAGGCCCAGCUCCCUACAGAUACCAACGUCCUCGGAUGCUCAAGUUUCAUAUCUGAAUAAGUAUCCGUGCAUAUAAUUUAAAUCAGUGGUUCAUGACCUUUUCCCAGGAGUGGCAUAUCAGAUGUCUUGUGUAUCAGAGAUUUACAUUACAAUUCAUAAUCGUAUCAAAAUUACAGUUAUGGAGUAGCAACAAAAAUAAUUCCAUGAUUGGGAGUCAACAGAACAUGUAGAAGUGUAGUAAAGGGUCACAGCAUCAGGAGGGUUGAAAAACACUGCUCUAAAUCAGCCCUGUUUUACUUAAAAUACGCAGCGCAAAAUAAUCGUUAUGUACUUAAGCUAUUUUGUUUACAGAAUAACGACGUGGGGAAAUACACAUGUUCCGUGUUGAUAUAAUUUUUGAUAUACUUUCAAACUGUGGCCACAUGAAGUCACAUACUCUGAGCUCAUGAAUCCAGGGGGAAGGUUAUACCUGACGAUAAACUUGCUUAGUGCUGAGAGCAAGGGGGCGGGGGCGGGGGAACACCCAGACUAGAGCCAGCCUGGCGCAGUCAUGAAAUUGCAAGCGGUCGCCACCAGAGGGCAGUAAGAGAAGAGCUGAGAUCAGUUCCACCAGACAAGUGGAAGGCAGAACGGCUGAUUUAAAAAAAUGCAGGCUCUUAAUCUGACGCCCCCUAAAAACUGUUCUCAGCCAUAGUUAGUCCAAGGAUUUUAGUGGUAUCCCUCACAUGCCACCAAUAAAACUCUCUAUAGCAAGAUCUGUGCUGGGCUUCCAUAAGAAGUUUUAUCUAGGCUGGCCACUCAUGUGUGGUUUAGUGGCUAUGUUAUUGUAGUUGCCUUGUGAGGAAGUGCUGGAGAUCGAAGAGACAGCUCAGUAAGACUUUGUGAAAUAUGGCUUUAUAAGAAACCUUUUGUGCACAUGUGUGCCCAGUCUACCAUCUCACCGUAGGCAGCACCAUGGAAAUGCAGUUCACAGGAGUUAGGUGCCUUGCCACAUGAUGACUGAGUUGGCAUUGGUGCAUGAGCAAGAGAUCUUUUGACUAUUGCUCACCAAACCGUCUCCAUCUCCCUUGUACUUUAAAGUGGGGCGUUCAUCCCACGGGCAGCAAAUCUGGGAAUAUUGAGUGUGUAUGGGAAGCCAGGCUUGUACUUAUUUAUAGAACCACAGAGGCCAGCACAAACCCCAGGUCAGAUGUAGAACACAAAAGCGCUGGUGGUAACUGAGGUGUUUGCAUGGGUGUGGACCUCUUGACCCUUCAGAUGCCCUCACAAGUUUGACUGUUAUCCCAAUUGCAAAUGAGGAAGCCCUUUCAGACAGGUUGGCUCCCUCCCUCCUCACAGCUGCAAAGCUGCUUCCCAGGACCUUACUGCCCCACUCCUGCCCUGAGGUCAGUGGGAGCCAUGAUAUAUGUGCUCAGUGCAACAGGAGGGUUGAAGUUCAUGAGAAACGCUGAAUUGUGUCCCAGAGACAUCAACCUCAAAUUGAUCCGAUAAGAGACUAGUUUUUCCAACAGAAAAAUCUUGUUGAUACAAUAAAGUCUGUGAUAUUCCAGAGCCAAGGCGAUGGCAGCUUCCCUGGGGACAGUGACUAUUUGGGACAAAAAGAAACCAUUGGCCUCAGAGGGACAGACAAAUAGCUUGAGCUAUAAGAACUGUUGUGACAAUGUCUCCGGCCCCUGCUCGCUUCAGGCAAAUGAGAAUGACACACUGGAGUUUCAUCCACUCAGGAGAGAGGAAUGGAAGCCCGGAGCAACUGGGGAAAACAGGGUGCAAACUCAGUUAUUUUGAAUGGAGGUCUCCUAGCUUCCUAAAUUAUCAUUGCCUGGAAGAUAACACUGUACCAACAGGGUUCCAGGCUGCUCUCUAAGGAAGCAAGCAUGCUAAAUUAAUACCAGACUUCCAUUCACUCCACAUGCUUGGAUCCCAGUGUAACAUUGUGCUUCUGUUUGGCAUAUGAAUGUGGAUGCUUUCAGUCAUCUGUAUACAUUGGUUUCUCUUUUUUCCUAUAGAAUUAGACCCCAGCCAAUUUGACCCUUGCCCUCCACUCAGCUUCUUGGAGCCUUGUUCUCCCGUGUGAUAAAUGAUAUCUUCUCCUUACCUGACAGCUUUGAGAAUGGAAAGGAUUGGUACCAAUGAUAGCAAUUAGCUCCCAUGGUGGCACACGUUAGAGCCAAGUAAAUAGUGUAUUUUCUUUCCUCUUGCUUCACCUUCGUGUGGCAAACAGGUACGCUGACACGAGCACACACACGGUAAAUCACCAACUUGGCCAAUAAAUCUAUGCUAAGUCAGAGUUAACUUAGAAAAUCAACACGGCACAGAGGCUUUUAGAGGGCUGACAUUCCUCAGGUUAUGGAAAACAAUAAUAAUAAAUCUCAAGGAAUGUCACCUUGCCCCUGGCACUGAAGACAAGAAGCUGAAAACCUUAGUGGAAUAGCCUUGAGGAUGUGGAGCGCACGGCCGGGAGGGGCAGCUCUUAGAGGAGCUGAGCUAGGGCAGGUGAACGUGUGUGAAGCUGUCAGGCCCCAUGCUGGCCUGGCUAAUUCCUCAGAUUUCACUGUGGAGAGAAGCUCUCAGGGAAGAUGGCAGCAGACAUGAUAGAUACAGAGAUCAACAGCUUUGAAAGUUUAGAAUAAGCUAGAAAAUAUAGCCAAUCAGCCCAGAACCAGGCAGACAUUGCUUCUUCAGGCCUCUCACCACGGGUGUGUGGCUGAUGCUGGGUUACUAUGGCUGCAUCCAAAUGCCACUCUAGAUGGUUUUUGCAUAUUGGCUGUUACUAAGAUUUUCAUGCUUAUUUCUGAAAGUCAUUAUUUAUUCUUCAUCUCAUUGAAUAUGAUUACUCAACUCCCUUUGGAAAGAACCCAGUGGGCUUGUGUUGGGUUUUCUCUCUCUUAAAAGUUAUUUCUUCUGUCAGUGGUUCUCGGUUCCUUCCCCAUACCUACCUUCUGUCUCUAACUUGUUCUUCCUUGAUAAUGCUUGCCUGUUUAUUAAGCUUCUUCCACUUUUAUGAUGCUAUUGUUCAGUUCCCAAGGUUUGGAGUUGGAAGACUCCACUUUCUUUUAAUGUCUUUUGAUGUAGGAUGUGUUUGAUUCUUGCUCUUUGAAUAUUUCAAGGUAAUAUUUUCCCCAUAGUUUUAGUUACAGUUUGGAUAAGAAGCACUCCAUAAAAGUUACAGGUAUUCAAAUCUUGGCCAUCAACUAGUAGAGUUUUGGGGGAGUCCUGGAAACUUUAGGGGUGGAACAAGAGUGAGAUAGACUUGGCCCCACAGUGACCUCCAGAGCAGCUUAGCAACAGAAUGAGACCUUGUCUCCAGAAAAUGAAAACUAGAAUAUUUAGAAGGCAGGGUUUUGCUGAGGGUAGUGAGUGAGAGUGAACCCUGGGUACCACUUAUUCCAGACUUCUCUCUGUUUUGGUGUCUACUUCUUGACCAUCAUGUCUCAUGAUAUCCCAGAAACCCACAGUUAAAUUUGUGAGGCAAAAUAAAUAUUUUCUACUUUUAAGCUGCUUCUCCUGUCACUUGGUCACAGUGAUGAAAAGUGCCCAAUCCAGUCUCUGAUUGGACAUUCGAUCACUUGGCACCCAUAGGGACAGCCAUUGUUUUUCCUCUUGCCUGUGUUCUGCUGUGACAUGGGUUGGGUGACCAUUUAGACGAGGAACCCUCUAUAUAAGGAAGACAUGGAAACUGGAACUCCUGUGUGGCUUCAGGGAGAACAUGAGCUUUCAGACAGAUCUGUUUGCCUCUCUGGGGCUGCUAAAAUGUAUGAAUUAUAAACGCCUAUGAAUGUGUAUAGCACCUUGAGUCCCAAAUCCUCCUGCAACCAAGCAAGCAAUUACAGUUUCCCUUAGGACCCCACUACAUCCAGAAUCCAGGCCACGACAAAAAUCAAACUCAACUUCUAAAGGCUAUCAGGAGUGCCAACCUCAUGGACAAAUCCCAUCCCGCUAUUUGUCUCAGCUCUUCCAACCUCUGCAAUCACGGUGAGAACCUGUGUCCCCAGAGUAUACCCACAGAAGAUGAACUUGCCUUCCUCUGUUCUCAAGGACCCUCUCUGUGUUGGUCUUUGGAGAAUUCCCUUGUUAUCUUCCAAUCAUUAUCAUCACUAACGACAUCUCCAACACAGUUAGCAUUGGCUGAGCCUUUGUGCUGUGUGCAAGCUUCCCUGUACCCACUUCCCAUUCUCUCAUGAGCUGCUUCAUUUAACUCUCAUCCCAGCAUGGUGGGGCAGAUGCUCUAAUUAUUCCCAUUUUACAGAUGAUGUCAUUCUAAUUUCCUUUAAAGAACAGGCAUUUUUGUUGGAGAUACACACAAGCGUGCAUACAGAGAUAUUAAAUAUUAAUAUAUACUAAGGAUGCAGUGAAUAACUUUCCUAGAAAAGUUAGCUUGGUAGAGAAAAAAUAAUUCUCACUUAGCCAGUUCACAUCAAAGUCAGAAGUAGCACCAAUAUUCUUCCUCCUAGCCUACUGCCAGGCUGCCUUGUUAGGAGACUUUCUUCUCUGAACUUCUACUGAUUUCUGACAUUGUGUUUAAGAUUUGAUUUUCUGAAAGAAACCUGGGAGAAAAAGGACCAAGGUGUCCAUUUCGUAAGGCACCUUGACCAUGUUUUCAGAUCUUCGAGCUGCUCCUGAACUCUCUAACCUACCUUGGUACUGGGAAGAAAUCAAACGGAGCUGUGGCCAUUGAACAGCAAAGCAUAGAAAGGCAGCUGUCUGAUUUUUGUCUAGCAAAGAGCGUGUUUCAAAUACAGGUUUAAAAAGAAUUGUUCCUCUAUGGUGUAAACUCACUCCCUUAAUGUGACUUGUUUGGUUGAAGAGCUUAAUAAUCCAUCUGUUAAGGUAGAGAGGGCUAACUAUGUGGUAUCUGCAGUGUCCUUUCAAAUUGUGCUGGUUUUCAGUAUGGAUUAUUGUUAACAAUGAAGCACAAGGAAACUCAGGAUUGUGCCCCUGGGUUGCCAUUUAAGUCCAAAGCUUCUCUUUAGGUUUGUUUUUGAGGAUGACUGGACAUGGAAGGCAAGGUAGGUAAGUCAGAAAGGGCAGAAUAGGAGUCUUGCUACUGCAAGAUAAGGCUAGAAAGAACAGGAGGUCAUCAUGUCAGACAGACAGUCUUCUGGGCCCACUGCUCUGUCUUAUGGUAGCCCUGAUACAAGUCUGCAGUUGUGUGACUGUCAAAUAUUACUGACUAUCCCCUCACAGUGUGUGCUUUUUGCUGUUGUUGCUUGUUUGUUCAAAUGUUUUGAGUCAGAGUCUCAUUCUGUACUCUAGGCUGGCCUGGAACUCAUUGUGUGGCUUAGGCUGGCUUUCAAUAUAAUACUAAUCUCUCUGCCUCAGCCUCUCCAGUGUACGGACUACAACUAUGAGUUGCUUUUUAUGUUUUAGUGCUCAUAUGCUGCUCUUCAAUCACUGGACUAGGAAAAGUCAAAGCAGCAAUACUAAUAGUAAAAUCAGCAAACGUCCAUGUCGAUCAAGGAAGAUGCUCACUACCACAUCCUCGCAGGGCCCCUGUGGGCAAUGCAGGAAUAGAAGAUGAAAGACUGUCAUAAAGACUGAAAUACAAGACUGACAUUCUGGGAAUAAAACUUGAAUCUUUGAUAAACAGAAAUAGUUUACCCCCUAUGCCAGAUGUAAAGGCCAUCAGUAGAACUAAUGCAUCUGUAAACUUAUAAUCCAACAGGGAAGACAUAAAAGCACAGCAUUUAAAGUUGGUGAGGUCAGGACUAUGUUCAGAAGUGGCAACAGGAGGGCACUGUGGAGGAGCACCAUGCACAGAAGAAGGCUUGCAAGCCUUUUUCAGAAAGCCCACAGAGAGCACUAGUGAACAAGAGGAGCUCUCUUGGGUCAUGGUCAAAGUAUCAGAAUGAAGACUGGGCUGGAGGUGUAACUCGGAGGUUGAACACUUGCCUACCAUGGCUACCAUGCAAGAAGCUUGGGUUCAGUUCCCUGCACUGCCAUAUCUACCCAUGCAUAUGCACCGGAAGUGUGUGGUAGAACUAGCCAACAUGGUUUGAAACCAGAUCUCUUCCCCAUGCAGAAGCCUGGGUUCAAUCUUGAUUGAGAAGAUAUUUAAUUGUCCCUGGUGCUCAUUAUAGUCAAACAAAAAAAUGUGGCCAGUUUCCUUAGGUGUUUAGUGAUUUUUCCAUGGUAUAUACCAAUUACCAUGCAAAGUAUUGUCUUUCCAGUGUUUGAUUCUAAAAAACAAAAACAAAACAAAAAAAAGUGAAAAAUUGAAAAAAAUUCUCCUUUUGUUGAAACUUUAGAAAUUUUCUUGUUUUACACAUUAUUUAACACCCCACAAACAACGUGUGCAUCUCUGCUGAUGCCAACUUGCUAGGACUCUGUUCUUUCAAUCCACAUCACUCUCUAAGAGACCCCACUCUCUGAUGGCUUCAGUUAUUUGUAACUUGGCAACUCUGUAUUUCUAACGCUCGUCAAGAUCUCUUUUCUUAGCUCCAUUUGACCCACUUGUUUACUGGGUCAUAAUAAUCUUCUUAGCUCCACGCCGACCUAGAUGUUUACUAGGUCACAAUAAUGGCAGAGGUUUCCAGAGCACACUUACUCCCCGGCAUCAUUCUCAGCUCCUUGCAUGUAUCAAUUCAUUGAAACCUUCGAGAGAUGCUUCAGGGAUGUGCCACGGCUGAUAGCAUCCUCAGUAAUGCUUUCCAGGAUUCUCACCUCAGCGUGUCCCAGAGCAAUGCAGUGAUUACUCACUGAAGCUAGCGACUCAGAUUCACAGCUCCACAGUCUGCUAAUUAAUGAAGAUCUUCCAACCACAGUGCUCCACCAUGGAUCCAAGAAGUCAUGCUUCAUGCUGCCAAUAUCCCAUCUGUACAAACACACAAGUACUAAAACUUUUCCCUCCAACUUUCCUAAGAGAGGUGACAUCAUGUGAUGGCUAACUCCUCCCCUCCCCUCCCCUCGUUUUUGCUAAUUGAUACAUUUGUGACUUGGGCAAGUUGGUUAACUCACCGAGUUUGGUUUUCUUUAUGGAUAAAACAAACAGUGUUUACUCACAGGACUGUUAUGAGACAGAAAUGAGUAAUUAUGUAAAUUUUAUAUAAUUUUAAAUUCUCUUUCUCUCUGUGUGUGUACACACACAUGUGCAUGCACACACACAUGAAUGUACACACCUGAUCAGAUCAGAGGCAUCAGAUACUUUGAAGGUAGAGUUACAGGUAGUUGUGAGCCACCUGCCAUGGAUGCUGGGCCUGGUACCUGAGACCUCUGCAAGAACCAAAUGUGCUCUGUGCUCUUAGCCACGAAGCCUUCUCUUCAGACCCAACCAAAGAGGUGUUUUUUUGUUUUUUGGUUUUUUUUUUUUUUGUUUGUUUGUUUUUUAUAUUUAGGAGGCCAGAGAGCAACCUUGGUUAUCAUUUGUUGGGUACUGUCUACAUUGUUGUUGUGUUUGUUUAUUUAUUUUUAGUUUGAAAGAAGCUCUCUUUUUGGCCUGGGGCUGACCAAAUAAGCUAGGCUGCUUGGUCAGUGAGCCUCAGUGAGCCCCUUCUGUCUCCAGCUCCCUGGCGCUGGUACUACAAGCUCAUGUCAUCACAUCAGACAUUUUCACAUGAGUUUCAGGCUUGGAGUCAGGCCUUUAUGCUUCCAUCGUUUUCCCACCUGAGUUCUCUCACCAGCUCCACCCCUCCCCCUCGGGUUCUUUUUUUUUGUGUGUGUGUGUGUGUAAUUUUUAAAAAAAUGUUGGAUAAAGCAAUGCAUUUCAUCUCCCUCUAUCUACUUCUAAGGAGAAAAUAAUUAGUUGCCAGUGCAGCAUCUGGACAUUGUGGAUGGCACCUCUCAGACUUACUGGCUUGGAACUGCAGGACUCAGAAUCAUGGACAGGCAUUGUAUUCUGUCAGCUCGAGGUCUGGCAUUUGGUGCUGUCUUUUUAUCUUUUUAAGAGAGAACUAUGCAGUCAGGAUAUAAAUUAUGGCUUAUGUAUAUUUGAACUCCAUUCCCAGGUUCAGUACAUUUCUGAUAAAAAAAAGGUGUAUUUCCCUGCUCCUCCAUCCUCCUUACAGCAAAUACACUUUCAGCCUGUCAAUGUUAAGUGUCUUUUUAUUUCUUAAUUUAAUGGUGUGUCAUUAGGGCUGAAGGAGAUGAAGUUUCAAACAAAUUCAGGGCUGUUUUUAGACAGGAGGCCAGGCAACCCAUGGAAAGGGUUGAGACGGACAAGGUGGAUGGCAGGCAGAACCUAGUGCACCCGACACGCAACCAUAAAGCUGUCUGUCUGUGGGCAGAGCUUUGCUCUCCUAACGUGCUUCCAGCUGCCUUCCUUUGAAUACUUAACCUUCUUCCCGAGACAGAGCUUAGCCCUUUCUCUCCAUCAGCCCAGAUAUUAGGAGAGUUUCUUCAGGAACUCAGUCUCUGACACCAGGUUCCCCAUUUCGGCUUCACCGGGGGUCGAUCCAGCCUUUGAGUCCCCCGAUGUGUCAGACCCUCCUUCUGUAAUACACUUCAUUCCUUCUCUUUACAAAGGCAAAGUUAGUGAUGCGGAAGACAUCAUGGAAUUCCAAAAGUCUCCAUAUGAAGAUUGCUUAUUCAGUUCAACACAAAAGGCUUUCAGCAUAAUUUUCCUAUCUAAUCUUUAGAACCUCAUCAUCAAUAGCUACUGUUAGAACUCCAUUUUAUAGAUGAAUCGAGAGACUUGGAGAGAUUGAGUCUGAGGCCACACAGCAAGCAGGUGGGAGAGCUCAGAUAGUAACCCGCUCUAUUUGAGAGACCAGGGACAGGGCCUGCAGAGGCUGGGGCAUCAUUGUAGGAUUAGAAAAGACAGAACAGAACAGCAUCAAUAAACACAGGAAGGGGAAUACUGCUAAAUGGUUUGAGAUGAACACUUUUGAAAGUGACUUGGUUUCUUGUAAGUGAUUUGAAAAUGUUUUUGGUGUUGUUCAUUUAUUUUAUUUUAUUUUAUUUUUUUGAGGAAGAACACUGCAAAAAGCAACAUAGUAGAAGGGAGGAAUGCCAGCUUUGAUGGCUUUUAAACAUUCUAGGAGUAACAAUGCUAUAAACUGUGAGUUUGGGGCAGAAGAAUCAACAGAAGAUGUGUUCAGGGAGUAGGCUGCCCAGAAACACAUCUGUUAAAGAGAAGAAAUUCAAGAAUUCUAUGCACAAAUAUGACAACUAGAGAAAUCAUCUAGAAAAUAAGAGCAUAUUCAUGAGCAUGGCACUAAAUAUUGAUUAACUGUCAGCAAAACACUCAUAUAGAGGCCAAUGCUUAGAUUAUAGGUGGAUUACAGAGAAGAAUGUAAACUAUAAAGCCUUUAAAACUAGAAGCAUAAAUAAAUCUGUGUAGGGAUUCUGGGUGGAGAAGGUCUGUCUAUGCCCCAAAGCAAUGCAAUAAAUAAUAGAAGAAAGACUGAUGGGUUUGGCAGUGUUCAGAUAAAAUCCUUCUGUAUGUCAAACACCAUGAAAUUUAAAAACAGUUCCAUCAGCCAGAUGGCAGAAUAAGGAGUUUCCAAUGCUUGUCCCCUCAUAGAAACACUAAUUUGAAAAACAAUUCAUGCACAAAAAAAAAUAGCUUCAUAAGAGCUAAGGGAUCCAGAUGAGGGAGUGGAUCAUCUGAGUGGGGCACAGAAAUAGACAUGUACUCAGGAGAAAAUGAAGGGCAGUAUCCUUGUCCAUCCCCACCAAACCUGUGCAUCCUGGGAGAAUGCUGUGAGGGUGGUGGUGGGGUAUUCAAGUAAGGCCACUAUUUCUAUGUACUCCAGCUUUAGGCCACGCCUAUACUGCAGGCCUGGGCUUUAGGUUGGUACCUCAUCUAGUAGCCUCAUCUAGGACAGACCCACGACUUCAGACUUCCAACUUAUUUCAAUAUAAGUCCAUUUCUGAUGACUCCAAACAUCUUUGUGACCCCACACUUGGUCCCCAUAGACUGAGGACCCAAACUUAUCCUUAGCAACUAAAAGUCUACAUCUACAAAAGAACCACAGAAGCUCAGAUAGUUCCAGACUCCAAAGUAGUCCCACAAGACCAGGGUCCAGAUCCCAUCUCUUUUAAAAAUUAUCUUAUGGGAGGGGUGUGGAGCAUCCAAUCCUGCUCACAUGCAUGUGCACAUGCAUGUACAGUUUCAUGAACCCAUGAAUGCACAUAUAGAGGCCAUAGGUUAACUAUCUUCCUUUGUCACUUUCCAUUACAGAUUUUGAAAAAAGGUCUUAAAACUUUGGCUAUAUUAGCUGGGUGUAACCCCCACCCCUAUCUCCUCACUUCCAGGACAAGGGUCAUAGAUACACAUUGCCACAUUUGGCAUUUAUGGUCAUCAGGGAUGGAACUCAGUUCCUCAUCCUUAUGUAACAAGCACUUUACCAACUGGCCCAUCUUCCUAGCUCCAGACCAGUCCUUAGAAAGCAAGAAUGUCUGUGUAGGCUGACAGGUGAAGAGCCCCAUCCUAACAAAACCAACCAAUAAAAACUGGAAAAUAAGACAGUUCUUCAAAUCAACAGAAACACAUGUAAAACUACAGGGGUGAGAUACUAUCAGGGAAGUGAGGCAGAGACAAAGGGAAACAAAAUGAUAGUAACUCAUUAUAAAGAGGUGAUGUACAAAGGCCAGGCGUGUUGGCACACCAGGAACCACAGCACUUAUGAGAUUGAAGUGGGAGGAUCUCCAGUUUGAGGCCAGCCUGGAUUGGAGAGUAUAUCCAUGGCCAUUGUGGACUACAUCAAAUGACGAGUAAAAAAUGCCUAACAAAGUAUUCAAAGAAUUAACUUAAAUUAUCUCAAUGAAACUACAAAAGAACAUAGAUAGCCUACCAAGACCAGGAUAAUAAUACAAGAGUAACAUAUCAAUGAAGGGAAAAAGAUAAAACAUUAAAAAGAGUCCAAUAAAAGUGCCAGAGCUAAAGAACACAAUAGCCACCUCUUAAAAGUCUCAAGAUAUUCAAGUGUAGACUUGAUCAAGUAGAAGGAAGAAUCGUCAAGCUAAUUCAGUGUCUGUUUGCUUACAUCAUCUAUCUGAGGAAUAGAAAGGAAAAGCAAUGAUGCAGAAUGCAAAAGCCAAUGGGUCUUAUGGGUUACCAGCAAGUGAGGCAGAACACUCAUGAUGGAAGCUUACGAAGCAGCUGAUAGAGAAAGGUAGAGGCCUUAUUUAAAAAGAUGAUCACUGAAUACUGUCCACAUAUAGAGAAGGACAUGACCAUCCCAGUCCUCAAAGGCAAAAUAGCUUUGAAUAAUCAAACAUAACGACCUUCUCAUUGAGACUUUAUAGCCAAAUUUCAAAAGUUGGAGAAAAAAUGAAGUUUAGAGCAUAUAGAGUAUAUAUAUACAUACAUAUAUAUAUAUAUAUAUAUAUAUAUAUAUAUAUAUAUAUAUAUAUAUAUAUAUAUAUGAAUAACUUUUCAGAUAUAAAUAAAGUACUUUUCGUAUGGUUGGUGGCAAAUUUCUUAGGAGAAACCUUGCAGACUGAGACAGAUUAGAUGAAAUAGGCCAAGAGAAACAGAAAACAAAGGAGUGUACCACCACUGGAUCUGCCGUACAAGAAGUAUUAAAAGGAGUCUCCAAGUUGAAAUGAAAGAACACUGGCAAGAACAGAUGGGGGAAAGGCAAAACUCAAGGUCAAGGUCGGAUCCAGAAUAAGCUUAUAGUGCACAAUCAUUUCUUACUAUAAAUGAUAAGAUACCAAAGUAUGAUAGCAACAACCAUUUAUUAAUGGUUAUGUCAUGAAAAAUGACAGUUGUGACAUCAGUAACAUAAAAUGUGUGAGACAGUGUUCGCAGCUGCUGACUAGCUGAGCUGCUAUCAUCUUCAGGAGAUGGUGAUGGUCCAUAUAAGCCUUGUGGUAAAGACUAAGAAAAGUCCCCAAAGCAACAGUACAAAACAGUCAUUACAUCACAAGACACCAGGAGAAAAACAAGAGAGCAAUAGAGCAGAUGGAGACAUGAUGGUAAAAACAAACCCUUCACGGCCAAUAAAUUACUAAUUGUUAAUGUAUUAAAUCAUUCAAUCAAAAUGCAUAUAAUGGCUGAAUGCAUUACAAAACAAGAUCCAACUGUAUGCUACUGACAAGGAGACUCACCUUAAUUUUAAGGCCACAAUUUUCUGUUUAAAGCAUAGAAAUGGACAAAGAUAAUCUGUGCAAAGGCCAUUUGAAGAGAGAGAGUGAGAGUCUCUGUGCCUAUAGGAGACAAUAUUAUAACAAUUGUAAAUCCAUCCAUCAAUCAAUCUCAAUAUCAGAAUACCUGAAUAUAUAAGAUAAAUACUUGAAGUCAUAGCACAAUAGAAGGGUUCUUAACUGUCCCCUUUCCAACAGUAUGUAAAUCAUCCAGACAGAAAGUUGAUAAGGAACAUUGAACCUGGUGACAGUGCAGGCCACUUGGACCUUAGAGGUGUGUGAGGAAUAUUCACAGGACAACUACAGAAAACACAUUAUUUUCAAAUAUCCAUGGAGCAUCCUGAAAAUAAUGUAAAGCCACAUAGCAAGGGCUAACAAGUUCAGAUUGAGAUAAUGUCUAGUACCUUUCCCAGCCUCAGUCACAGGAGGCUAGAAAUCAGUAGUAAGAUGCUCAUUGAUAAAUAUGUGCAAAUUCAAUUACACAUUCCUCAACAACCAAGGCAACAAAGGAGAAAACAAAAGAAAAAUAGUUUUAAAUCUUGAAAGAAAAUGGAAAAACAAAAUUUAAAGGGUAAUAACAUUUUUUAUUUAAUCGUUUUUAAUUGAUAUAUGUAAGGCACAAUUUAUUAUGAUGAUAUAUAUGUAUGUAAACACAGCAUAAUUAUGUUUAAAAUAUAUUACCCAUAUUCUGUCACACAAGCAAAAGCACUUUUCCAGCAGUUUAAAAACAAAUACCAAAUGCAUGUUAGCUACAGUGCUUAAGAGCCCGUUGUGGUGAUUCACACCUUUAAUCUCAGCACUAAGGAAGAAGAAACAGGCAGAUCUCUUUUCAGUUCCAGGCCAACCAGGGCCAUAUAUUGUUUCAAACAAACAAACAAACAAAGUAAAAAUAAAUAAAAAAGGAAAGAAAUGCAAAACUAAAAUGAUUAUGGUUUUAAUAACCAUUCCUUUUCUCUAGCUGGAAUAUUCUCCUGUCUGCUUUUGUUCUCUGUGACGAAUAUCUGAUCCUUUCCCAUCUACCCUUCAUCUUGAGAAUCUAGUAUCUACUACACUUGUGUCUUUGUCUAUGAAUUAAAAUGUUAAAACUUCCUCUGUGGUGAGAUAAUCAGGUGCAGUAUUUGCCCCCAGUGUCGUCCUAAGCACAAUGUCUUCCAAGUCCAUGCCUGCUGCUGUAAUACGCCAUACCAUCUUUGUGAAGUUUAAAUAACAAUGACUAGUGUGUAUACAUCACAUUUUCUUUAUGUCUGCAUCUACUGGUGGUACAAAGAUUGUGUCAAUGCCUUAGUAAUUAUCAAUACUGCUACUAUGAACUUGGUCAUACAGUCAUCUCUCCAGCAUUCUGAUAUAUAUAUAUAUAUAUAAUUUUAAGGGACUUUGUGCUUUUUCAUAGAUUUAUGCUGAUGUGCAUUCAACACAUCUUUGCUAACAUUUAUUACCUUUUGCCUUCUAUCCACCAAAAUAUUUCUAACAGGUGCACAUGUUCUAAUUAGGCAAUGUUCUACAUGAUUUCAAAAGAAAAUGGGUCAAAGUAAAAGAGGGCAUAUACGUCAGGCCCAUUGCUCACACCACACACAGUUGUGAAAAGUUGACUCUUCUUUAAGUUCAAGAAGAUAAGAUUUCAAGAUAGCUCUGGUUGGACAGCACAAGCAAGCUCGACAUAGAAAUACACACAAAUAAAUUAAAAAGCAAAACAUUUUAUUUUCUCUUUGUUUUGACAUGGUCCUAUAAACAGGAGAUCUUAAGAGUCCAAGCAAUAAGCUAUUCACAAAUUCAGUAAUAUUUCAGAAUACAAAACUACACAUUAAAAAAUGAACUAUCUACAAAAGAAGCUAAAAUAACCAGUACAGGUAUAUAUGCUCACAGUGUGAUGAGCUCUAACUAACCUCAAGUUUCAAACUGCUAAAACCCCAGAAGAAAGCAUGAACAGGACAGAAAAUAUGCAAAGGCUCUUUAGAACUAGAAAAAAGUUUUAAUGAUAAAGAAACAUAAUUUAAAUUAAUAACAUUGAGAUGGGUCUCUUUCUGCCUCACAAAUUGUCAAAGUUAGAGAAAAUUUUGACUCUAUAUCUUACCAGUGGGUAACCUAAAACCCUGCUGUAAGAGACAUAAGCUGGAAAGCAAUUUGGCUGCAUGCAAGGAAGGUAUUAAAAUUCUAAUGCUAAAAGUGCUAGGAAUGUUUUUGUACCUGUUGUUCCCAUUUAUAGGAUUAUCUCCUGGGGUGGUAAAAUAACAUAAGGAAAACUGUUUUUUUUUUGUCAGUGAUAGGCUAUCCAUUGUAAUGUUGGGCAAAACAGCACAAUGGUAGAAAUAACCCAACUACUUAGCUGUAAGGGAAUGGUGUGCAUCUCUGUGUUUGUGAGAUCUUUAUCUUCAGGAUGAAUCAAAAAUUCUUAAAAACUUUUGCAUCUGUUCUCAACGUGUACAGACACCUUUCUUGUCACCACUCUUUAAACAGUGGAGCAUAGCUACUCUACACAGCAUAUGCACAGAAUUAGAUUUCUAAGUAAUGUAGAGAUGGUUAGAUAUGUUCAGGAGACUGUGUGAAAGCAUUGCCAUUUUGUAGAUGGGACUUGAGCAUCCACAAGUUUUGAUAGCUAUAGAGUCCCCACUGGAUGUGGAAGUAAAGAUAAUACACAUUGUGAGGUAACUGAAAUGCACACGACUUAUUUAGACAUGAAAACAUAUUGAAGGGCUCUUAUGUAGUAAAAUUGAUUGUCAGCUCCAGAAUACAUCGGAGAACCAAACAACCCAAAUACUCUCCUUGAAAAAGCUUACAUUAUUACGAAGUAGAACUAUAUAGAAAUAAUAGCAUGUAUAAAUGACAGAAACUUCUGGAUGAUGGUAAAUGCUAAGAAAACUGCCCGGGGAGGUGAUGGGAGUGUCCAGAAUUAUGAAAGUGCGGUUUUCAAGUGGACUGAAUUCUCCUCACUCAGCAGGUGUCAUUGAACAAGUACACAGGGGGAUGGAGGAGGUUUGUGGUAGAGCACACAUUUCUGUGAAGGGAAAGAGGGCGGAAGUCCUUUUGGUAGAUGUGAGCAUACAUAGUGCAUUUCAGGAUGAUAAGGAGACUGAUGUGUCUGGUGCAGAAGAAUACCGAGAAGGUAGGGGAGAUAUGAGGAGCGAAUGAGGACCAUCUCACUGCAAUCUGGAUGACUAGAAGCUGCUGGUGACUUCUGAGAGGUGACCAGGAUUGUCACUUUUCAAACGGCCUCUCUGGUUGCUCUCUGGUAGCAAGAAUUGAAGCAAGGAAGCUCAUGCAGACUAGCAGAGGGUAGUAGAAGCUUAAAUUCAGCAGGUGAGGCUUCUCUAAGGGAUUGGUGGUCAAUCUAAACCACAGGAAGGCAGCAAGGGAGACCUAGGGCUCAAGGGACCAUCAUUUUUUCCCCUGUCUUCAUAUCUACCCAAAUAUGGGAUUUGGUUUAUUUUUUUCAAUUCACUAGUGCAGUGGCUCUCAAAGGGUGACAUGUAGAGUGGUACACACUGGGGAGGUUGAGGAAAAAAUAAUUCUUCAGGAUCACCUCACACUCAGUGAGCCAGAAACUUGAGGGAUGGGGCCUGGCUAUCUAUGGUGUAGGAAGUGUUGAAGUCACUCUGAUAAGCUAAUAUUACAUCCUGACCCCAGGCCCAAGAUUAUAUGUGUAGAAUGGAGGCCACUGAGUUUCCUAGAAUGAGAGUUAUAACCUAUUUUCCCACUAACAACUUAAAAAGGACCAAUGGAUGUCCCCACUUUUAGCAAUGCUUUCCCAACCCCAAAGCAUCCCAGCAGAGUUUCCUGUUCUUUCUGAUUUUCUUCUGUCCAAGCCUGGCUUCCUUCUAUCUGCCCCACUACUCAAUCUCUGCAGACCGGACAUGGGAGAAACAGAGCAGCUGGACUCAUAUAAUCGCAGGCUCUUCUCUUCCUAAUGUCUUACGAUCUCCUCCUGUCUCCUCCUGAGUGAAGAAAAUAGUUCUGUUUUAGAGAGAGGGAUUCUGCUGUUACCUGUAGUGUGAGCAUCUUCUCAGAAACGUGUGCAUAUGUAUCUCUAAUGUAUGUAUACAAACACAUAUAAUGUUGAUAGAAAUAGUCAUAUGCAUAUACACACACGUGUAUAAUAAAACAAAACACAAGCAAUUCUCUAUAACUGGGGGCAGUGGCUUCUCUUUUCUUCUUUCUCCUUCUCCUCUUCCCCAGUGUCUCCUCCUCCGUCUUGCCCUCCUAACUCUUCUCUCCCUCCUCCUUGCUCUCCCUCUCUCCCUUCUUCUAUUCCUCAUUCCUUUUUACACUCUCCUUUACAUUUUUAAAAUCUUCCACAUAUAAGUUCCUCAGUAAAUAAAAAAUAAAAACAUAGAAAAGAAUAAGGGAAGGGGAACUAGGAAGGAAGGGAAAUAAGGGAGAAAUACAUGAGAUUCUCUGUGUACUUUGCGCAUCUUGGUCUGACUGAAGGCAGGGAUCCACAGAGUGACAGAGAGAUGCUCAGGUUGGUGAGAUUUAAUGCACACUCUUGGAUGUAUAUGUCCUGGAGCGUCUCCUCAUGCCCUCUCGCUGUGGCCAAGAGCUUCAUUCCACCCACAGAGGGCUAGGAAUUGAAUCUCUCUUUGGGAAAUCAAGGAUGUCACACCUCACACUGGAUGUGCUAUCAGAAAGUGAAGCAGAUUUUAGAACAACAAAACAGAAAGUAGUUGAGCACCCUUGCUAAAUAAAAAGUGCACAGCACCAUGCAUGCAUGUGGAAGGGAACGGUAAAAGGUACCAAAAGAGUUGUUCCCAUGUAGCUGUGAUGAACCCACUUCUAACCAUUUACUCCAGCGUCCUUCUUUCGGCAUGAUUCAGGCUACUCUGUCUCAACACAUUCACAGCUAUUAAGCAAAGUCCAAAUGUUCAAUGCCUCAUUAACACUUCCUGCUGCCAAGAGCAAUUGUGUCUCUAGUGAGUCUCUUAACUUCUCUUCGCCAGUUUGUUCUUAUCACAUCAUAUAAGAUGAUUGUAGGCAUAGGCAGGCAGAUUUCUGAGUUCGAGGCCAGCCUGGUCUACACAAAGAAACUCUGUCUCAAAAAACCAAAAAACCAAAAGAAACAAAACAAAACAACAACAACAACAACAACAAAAAACAACCUAAAAACAAAACAAAACAAACAAACAAACAAAAAGAUUGUAUGCUUCCCCCCCCUAUUUUCUUAUAAACAAUCUCUAUAAAACUUUCCUCUCCUACUUUUUUGCAAAUUUAUUUUCUCUUUCUUCUACAUAUAUGUGUUUUAUGUUACAAGUAAGCAGCCAUUUCCAUUUUUUUAAAUUAACAAAAAACUCAUUUCCUUUUAUUUUAGAAGUAAAUAAAAUUCUCUGUAUCAGGGGGUCUUAGUCCAUUGUCUGUUGAUAUAACUGAUGCCAUAGUCUAUAUAGUGACAAAGUAUGAAUAUUUACUCAGCCCAUAGAAGAUGGAAGGGUCUCUAGAAUAACAAUUUUCACCCUGUGGGUUGUAACUGCUUUGAUGGCCUGAGCAACUCUUUCACAGGGGUCACAUAUCUGAUAUCCUGUAUCUGUUAAAAUAAUUUUUUAGUUGGAUCACCACAACAUGAAGAACUAUAUUUAAGUGUCAUAGCAUUAGCGAGAGUGAGAACCACUAUUCUAGGAGGUGCAUCAUACUAGGGCUUUCUUACUGGUAGGAACUCUGUGAUUCCUAAUCACUUCCCAUAUGUUUACAUCUCUUUAAGACCAUGUCUGUACCUCCUUAAAACCAUUUUUUUUUUCAGGGAUGAAAUAUUCAGUGUAUAAAUUUGAGAGUGGGGCACAGAUACCCACAUCAAAUCAGAUGAUUGUAAUGCUUUUAGCUCUCUUGGGUAAAUAUCUAGAAGUGGAAUAGCUCCAUUAAAUAGAAACUGUGUGUUUAGCUUUUUAAAAGUUGGAAAAGAUUUCCUAAAUAAACAUACUGCUUUAUUUUCCCCCCGACUGACUAAAAGGUAGAAAGGAUGCUUACAGUCAUGGGUCAGCAAAACCAGUACUCUAAAAUUGGUUGGAUUCCUGGGCGACCUACAGAUAUAGCAUACCCUCCAUCGAAAAUCCACUGAUGUUCAUCACAGAACUAGAAAAAAAAUCUAGCAUUCAUGUGACAGCACAAAAGACUCCAAGUAGUCAAAAUAAGCAUGAGUAAAAGGAACAGUCCUGGGGGUGUCACUAUAACUGACUUUGCGAUACACCAUUGAGCCAGAGUAACAAAAAUCCCAGGACAUUAUUUCAAAUAUAGAAACAUAGAUUUAUAGAGGAGGAGAGAGGACCCCGAAAUAAACCCUGUCAGAUAUAUAAGUAACAGUGAUUGUCUCCCAUCUGUUGUCUGUCUCUUCACUCGGUUAAUUGUUUCCUUUGCUAUGCAGACGCUUUUUAAUUUCGUGCAAUUUCAUCUGUCAAUUCCUGGCUUCAUUUCCAGAAUGAUUCGGAGUCCUUUACAGAAACUCCUUGCCUUUGCCAGGAUGCCGAGUGUUUUCUUUGGACCAUUUCAGAGUCUCAGGUCUUACUACCAUUGAUCCGUUUGUGAUGAGAUUACUCUUGUAUGGGGUGAGAGAUAUGAAUCUUCUUUCUUCUACAUGUAGAUAUCUCGUUUUCUCAGUGCUGCUUUUGGAGGAGGCUGUCUUCCCUCUAGCAUGGUUUUUAUGUCUUUGCAAAAAGAUAGGUGACAGUAAUUUUGUGAGUUUAUUUUGAGCCUACUAUUAUCCUCUUUUAACUUAUUUUUCUGUUUUUGAAAUAAUGCUAUGUUUUUUGGUUACUGUGGGUCUGCGGUGUAAACGUCAGGAAUUGUGUACAUACUCACAGUCUCCGUAGUAUUGGCUCUCCUGAUCUAUGCAUGUAAGGAGUUUUUCCACUUUCUAGGAUCUUCUUCCUAGAAAGAGUUUUAAUUGUUUUCUUGUGAAGAUCUUUACCUUUCUUAUAUUAAUUACUGGGCAUUUUUUUAAAGGUACUAUAGAGGGUCAUUUAGUUGAUUUCGGUUUUGGUGAAUUCAUUAUUGGCUCACAGGAAAGAUGCUGAUUUUUCUGUGUUACAUUUGUGCCCUACUACUUUUCUCAAAUAGUUUCACAGCCUUAAGAAUUUUCAGGGGUCCCCAUUUUCCAGAAUGGAGGAAGAGCUCCUUGAGUGUGUCCCUGUCCCCGAGUCCCCAGGUCCCCGUAUCCAUCUUAGGUGUGUUGUUAGUCAGCAUGUAUUCAGUGAGCAAGAGAUUGAUCUGAAAAUGAGUAGAACGAAAAGAAAUACCAGCCACAUUCAGCUAUUGUGCUAAAGCUGCAUGGGUAGUUUCUGUUUAUUUGUCCGUUUAGCAUAUUUUAGGUAAUGAAUAUGUGGAAAACAAAAAUGUCAUAAAUAUUUCGUUACUUAUUUAUAGCAUGAGAAAAACACUGGGGCUGGAAAGUUGGCUUGGCAGUUUAGAGCCCUUGUUGAUCUUUCAGAAGACCUGGGGUUUCUUUUCCCAGCAUUUAUGUGGUGGCUUCUGAUCUCUGCAGAAUAUUACACACUUGGUGCACAUAUAUUCAUCCACUCACUAAAAAUAAAUAAAUAAAUAAAUAAAUAAAUAAAUAACAAUAAUAAAUAUUUAAAAAUAAGAACAAAGAAAAAUUUUCUUGUGCAAUCAUCAGGCUCAUACUAUUUGGAAAUAGGGAUAAUUUAAUCAAAGGCUUACCAGCCUGCUAAAUGUGUUUGGUAACCACUUGUAGGUUGUUGUCUAAGCACAGGUGAAGGCAGGCACAAGAUAAGGCAAUAGCCUGUGAUUGGACAGUGGAAAAAGAAGGCAGGCUGAGAAUUUUAGAGAUGAGCACAGAGGGACAGAGAGGGAGAGACAGAGAGGAGGAGACAAGAUGGAACGGACGUAUAGGAGAGGAAGAGGAGCCAGAAGCACACAGUCCUGAGAGCUAUAAGUAUUGGGGAUUUCUUAGAUAGAUAAUUAAAUAAUAAGUUGGGUGCGCUUGCCCCAUCUAGGUGUGUAGCUUGUGUUUAUAUCAAUUGAGUUUUGAGUUAAUUGUGAGGGAGUUUAGUGGGUUGAGAAUUUACUAAUAUAUAUCUGAAGGAUAAAUUACAAGCCUCUAGAGUUUUGAUUUUACUUGGUUACUGGGAUUUGUGACAGCUAACCACAGGGGGCAGAGGGCUGGGAAUGUGAGUGGAAUCUGCAGCAAGAGACAGACAGUCGCUGCAUAGGGCUAGCCAUGGUGGCAGAGAGACCGCCAGGGAUAGAGAGUAGCUGGCGUUAGUGUGAAAUGGUGCCAUUUAAAUAUUUCAUGCAACAGCCACUGUCCUUCGAUUUCUAUUUUAUGGACUAGCUGGACCAACAUUGGCGUUAGCUGUUUUAUUUCAAAGGUCUUGUGGAAUCCAUCAGUGACCAGCUCUGGGCUGUGUUCUCAGUUGCUACAUGUUUUGUUCCUGUCUCCUUCACAUUGCUUCUAUUACAGAUGUUUUUACAUUGUUUAUAACCUCGUGGUUCAAAUUUGGUACCUUGCAUGUUUCUAGAAAGUUUUUUCUACAACAGAUAUUUUCUAGAAAUUGUGUUUUCAAACUAGACUCUAUUGAUCCUUUGGCUGUUACUGAUCCCCGUUGUAUCAACCCUCUUUUCUGGAGUUCUACUGGUUAGAAGCUGCUCUCUUACGACUGCUGCUUUGGUUAGAAUUUGUCAGUUGUGUUUAUUUUUCCAAAGAAGCCGUGAUGAAUUCUCUCAAUCCUUUGCCUUGCUCUUCUGUUUCCAUUUUGUUGGUUUUGUUCUAAUCUUAUUGUUUCUUUCUUUCUGCUGAUAUGUGUUUCCCCUUGUCCUUCUUUUUCUAGGACCUUGAGAUGCAUUAUUAAGUUAUUUAUUUGAGGCUUCUCUGAUUUUUAAAUCAGAGAUGUAUAGCUGUCAACAAAACCCACUCUCAUUAUAUCUUAUAAAGGUCUGGUAUAUUCUGUAUUCACUUUCAUUCAAUCAAAGUAAGUUUCAAUUUUCUGAUUUCUUCAGCAUUCAGUAGUGGGUAGUUCAAUUUCUAUGAGUUUAUAUACUUUCUGCAAUAAAUCAAAAUCUUUUUGAUUUAUGGAUUUAUUCCUUAUUUAUCAUAUAGAAGAAAAAUAUAUUUCAAUCCUUCUGAAUUUGUUAGGAUUUGAUUUGUGCAACAAGAGGCAGAGCGUACCUGGUGUCGGGAAGUUAACUAAUGAGCCAGUGCGAGUGAAAUCACACUUAAUGGGGGAGAUUCUACAGCCACUGAUUUACAAAACCAGUAUAGUUCCUAACAGCAAUCUAUAAGCAUGUGCCCUUAUGCUCAGAGAUAAAUGUAAUUUUCAUCCCACAUUAAGGAAACUUCUCUCUGCAAUAGAUGGAGAUUACUAUAGAAAACCACAACCAAUCAAAAGGCAGAGUUGUAGAGACCAAUUGCAACAGAUACAUCUAACAACACACUCCCACACCUAAAGCUCAGAGAACAUUGUAGAAGAGGAGGUAAAUGAUCUGAAGAUCCAAAGGAUCAUAGAGUUAGCUGUGAGAUUUUGUUCCCUGGUCACAUCACAAGCUACCUGCAAAGUCUAAUCAACAUGGCCACCCAAAUCAUGGACUGAACAAGUAUAACACCAACAAACAUGCCAAACUGGAUUGGAAAUAGUCCAUCUGGUGCCAGCACUACACAAAGAGUAACAGGCAACUGAGAAGGCUUGGAUUGGAAAAGCUGGUCUUCCACAGGAAGAGCGCACCAACUGGUUUUCUGCUGCUAAAAGUUCCUCUCUGAAAACAUACAGACAAGUAAUGUUAUAUGACCCAACAGGUUAAAUUUAGAAGUAUGUAUGUAUGUAUGUGCAAAUACGUUAUGAAUUCAAUAGCAUUAGUGAAGACAGAGGCCACAAAUUUGAAGCUGCGUUAUAAGAGGUAUAUUGGAAGUUUUGGGAGAAGGAAAGGGACAGAAGAAAAUUUGUAAUUAAAUUACAACAUCAAAAUAAAUAAACACACAAGAAAAAAAAUGCAUGCCCUCAGUCAUAGGACCUCCACAAACCCAGUCAUGCCAGUAAAGAAAGAACAGAUGAUUGAUGGCUUGGGCACAAGAACAAAAUGUUCGCAGUUGUAUUCUGAAAUGUGGUCAAUUUCAGAUAAAAUUCAAUGGGCAGCUGAGAAGAACGUGUUAAUCAAAUGCUCCACAGAGGUCAAAGUUCCUUUACUCUGUAAUGUCUUUAUCUCCUACAGUUUGGGGGAUAGUCUGGAUGACCUGUUUAUUGAUGAGGGAGAAGUACUAAGACUAAUCACUCUUUCAGGUCUCUCUGGAAGGGAAGUACUCUCACAGACACACCGAAAGACUCUAAGUAUUUCUUAAAUCCAAACAAUAACAUUAAUCUUCAUAAAUCCAGCCCUCGGUAACUUUACACAAUGUUCACAUGAUAAUAUCGCUUUGCUUGUCUACCCCAUGGCCUUCUAAUAAUGAAAAACACAUCCAAGUGUAACUUCUAAAAUCCACAUGCUUUGUAAGAGUCACAACACAACACAACAUAACACAAUGUCUAAAGUCUCUUCUGAGAUUUAAGACAUUCUCUAAUUGGGAAACAAUAGAUACAUGGUUACUAAUUCUUUAAUCUUUUGUUCAAAGGCUCUUGUUUAUUUUUGGUUUUGUCUCAGAAAUGUGACCAGGUAUGGCUUUGGUACAGCCAAUAGACAGGGAGGCAAGGUUUCUAUAAUUUUAUAUUAUACCACCAUGUUGAUUCCUCUGAGCAGGAACAGACAUUCCAACUCUUCUGGAAACAAAUCAAUGACCACAUCUUUGGAUAACAAUAGUUUCCUUACCUGACUUCCAAGAUUUCCUGGCAUUCUUCUUGAAAAUCCCCUAGCACUAGAUUGUCCCACAGUGAAAGAGGCUCUGGCAGAGCCAUUGGAAGUUCCUGAUGAGAAGAGAUAGCCUUAAAGUAGACCCAAGGCAGUGGGAUGAUAAUUAUUAAUAUAUUCUAAGUUCUUUGCCAUAGUAUGAUUUCAAAUUUUUCUCAUCCUGCGAUUUACUCUGUUUUUCACCUCAUAGAGACCCUUAGAGAACAGAUUCCUCUGAUUUUGUUGAAGUCAAAUUUUGAGGGUUUUUUUUUUUUGUAGCUUGUAUUUUUUGUUUGUUUUGUUUUGUUUUGUUUUGUUUUUUUCAAGACAAGGUUUCUCUGGCUGUCCUGCAACUCACUCUGUAGACCAGGCUGACCUCGAACUCAGAAAUCCACCUGACUCUGCCUCCCAAGUGCUGGGAUUAAAGGCGUGUGCCACCACUGCCAGGCUAUAGCUUGUACUUUUAAGAUAUGUUGUAGCUAAGAAAUAAUUGAGUAACCAAAGGUCAUAAAAGUUUUCUCUCACUUUCUUCCUGAAAAGCUUAAUGUUUAAGGCUUUGAUUCAUUCUGAGUGGAUUUUUCUGUACCCCACAAAGCAUGGCCUGCCAGUCUUAGCUUUGAACAUGGAUAGUCCAUUGUUCCAGGAGUACACAAUAGCCUGUAUUUUCUCCACAGAAUUGUUUUACGACCUCUGUAAGAAAUCAAGUGUCCUUGUAAGUGCAGGUUAAUUGCUGGAUUCCAUUUUGUCUCAUUGAUAUUUUUUUAAUUAGGGUUUCCACUAUUGAUUACUGUAGCUUUAAGUCUUCACACUAGAUAGUGCUAGGCCUUCAAUUUGUUUUCUUUUUAACAGUUGUUUUGACUACUCUCUGCCUUUUUUGCAUUUCCAUGUGGAUUUUAAAAUCAACUUGUCAAUUUCUACUUAAGAAAUAUACUGGUAUUUGCACAGAGACUAUAUUGAAUUCAUGGAUUAAUUUGAAGGGAAUGACAUUAUAACAGUAUCAAGUCUCACGACUGAUUAUAUUAGUGUCUCUGUUUAUUUAGAUCCUCUCUAAUUUCUCUCAGUAUUAUUUUGUCAUGUUUUAUGUACAGGUUCUGGAUAAUCUUUGCUGUAUUUACCUCUAAGUAUUCAAUUUGCAGUGCCACUUUUAUUUUAUUUUAUGUGUGUGUGUGUGUAUGAGAUUAAAAUACAAUUAUGUAAUUUCUCCUCCCCUUCCUCUCUCCUACUCCUUUCAUGUUCCCUCCCCCAUCCUUGGUCUCUUUAAAAUUCAUGGCCCCUGUUCUUCUAGUAGUAACACACAUGUGUAUUCCUAGAUAUAUAAAUACAACCUGCCCAGACUCUAAAAUGUUGCGUGUGUGUGUGUGUGUGUGUGUGUGUGUGUGUGUGUGUUUGAUUUCAGAGCUUUUCAAUUGUUCCUGGAGAACCAAUUGGUGACUCUUCCCUGGAGAUGGCUAUUUCUUCUGCUCUCAGAAUUCCUCAGUUGCUUUUAGUUCUUUAUCUCUGUUGAGGCCUCUUCAGCUUUCCCCCAUCUAUGUCAUCAGGUCUAUUUCAGCCAUUCUUAUUCAGAUUUUAGGCAACCAGGUUGGUGAGACUUAAAAGAAUGCAACCUCUCUGAUAUUUCUAUGAGAAACCAUCUCAUGGCCAACUUUGUGUUUCUGUAGCUCUUGCAAUCUUUCCAUCCUCUCUUCUGCAAUGACCCUUGAGCAAUUGCUGGUUGAAGAUGUAUCAUUUGGGGCUGGUCUCUACAAAUCUGAAAAGUUUUAAAAUUUUUUUCCUGGUACUUUCUAUAUUUCGCAUCAUGCUCAUCAGUCCCACUGAUCUCCCAGGUCUCCUCGUAUCAGUCUUUCAUGCUUACAACAUCCCCUUCCUCAACCCCGCAACCUAAAAAGAAAUCUCAUUGUGGAAACUGAAGUGUGUCGCCAUGUGUAACACAGUAUGCCCUCCCCUUCCACUUCUUUGCUUGCAAAUAGUCAUUGCAAGGAGACAUGACUCUGAAUUUUGAUCAAUGUUGUUCUCUAUGCAUCGGUUUCCAGUUCAUGCAUGAUUCCCCUCUCGUUGAGUGGGAUAUCAAUCCAAGUAUACAAUGUUUGGUUGCCACCAAAGUAUGUGUGCCACUAUUGCACCCCUAGAGUUAUCACGCCAUGCUGGUGAUUAGGCUUCAUAGGCCUCAUUGCUGAGCAGGGCAAUUGGUUUCUUCCUUCCUUUUGAAACUUGCAUGGUGCAUUCUGGUGCUGUGAAAGCUAGUCUUCAGCAAGCAGGCUUUCUGGUCAGAUCCAAGGCUGGUCUUCUGGGUCCUGUGUCUCGAGUGCAUGGUGUCUUCAGCAACAGGGAUAUAUCUUCUUCUUGGAGGUAACCAAGGGCCACAGCAUUAACUCUUCUUAAAGAUAUUUCUUUUAGUUUAUUCAUUUGAAUUUCAGAUUAGUCAUGAUUUUAUGAAGUUAUCACUAUUUUGCAUAUAAUCUUUAGUGGUGUAAUAAUAUUGUAGUCAUUAGUCUUAGUAUUUUUAAAAAUUUAUCUUAUGUACCCAUUCUUUCAGAUUUUCAGCCGUGUGUACAAUGUAUUUUGACCAAAUCCACAUCUACCCUUCCUAAUUUCUUCACACCCUCUCAUGUCCCUUUCAUAACUCCAUAUCCUUUAUUGUUAUGUUUUCUUGUAGCUCACUGAGUUGAGUUAAUGCUGGCUCUAUAUGUAUAGAUAAUAGGCUGUCUACUACAGCAUGAGUGACUUACUAUAAGGCACACUCCUGAGAAACAGACUGCCGAUGGCUCUCAGCUACAUUGGGGCUGCUUCCUGAGUCCUUCCUCAUCUGUGCUGGGAAUGUCGACUGGUUUGAUCCUAUACAGGUUCUGUGCAGGUGGCCACAGCUGCUGGGACUUCAUAAGUGCAGUGGGCUCUGUUGAUGUCCAGAGGAUGUUGUUUUGCAUCAGUCCUCUCUGGCCUAUUUUUACAAAUGUACUGCGGAAGAUAUUCUAUAAUAGUAAUAAUGCAAUCCCUGCAUUGUUUCUUCUUCCUUUCUUGCAUUAACUAGAACUUCCAGAAUGAUAGUGAGUAGAAGAUAUUUAAUCUUUGUCUUUGUUCUCUCCUGGAGUUUACAGGGAAAGCUUUCAGCCUUUUCUCUGUGUUGAUAGCUCUGAGGUUUUCACAGAUGCUCUGUUAGUUAUGUUUGCUGAGAGUUCUUUGUUGUUGUUGUUGUCGUUUAAAUCAAAAAUCGAUUUUAGAGUUCAUCAAAUGGUUUCUUAUUUCUCUUUUAAUAUUAUUGUAGAGUUUUCUAAUUUAGUUGGUUAAUAGUGUGUCUCACAUUGAUUAGUGGUUUUUUUUUUAAUGUUCAGCCAAAUUUGUAUUUUUUAGUUAAAACUUACAUGACCUUGUAUCCUUAUUGUACACUGUUUUGUUCAAUUUAUGCUUGGAGCUAAAAUUAUGCUCGAAACGUUAACAUCUGUGUUCAUGAGGGAUAGUGUUCUAUAAUUUUGUUUUAUUUUUUGUCAUUUCUUUUUCCUGUUUUGUUGUCAAAGCAACACUGACUUUAUAGAAUAAAUUGGGAAUUAUUCCUUCCUUUUCAAUUUUCCAGAAGAGUUUAUGUAUAAUUGAUUAUAUUUCUUCCUUAAGUAUUUGGUAGAAUUUACAAUGAAGCCAAUUGAGCCUUCACGCUCACGUGGGAGGGUUUUACUUUCAAAUUCAAUUGCUUGCAGAGCUUUCUUUCUAAGAUCUGUUAGGUAAGAUCAGAACAGUAUUUAGUGUCAGGGCUCACUGCUGACAGAUACUCGCAAGGGCCCUGUUGAGUCUCUCAUGAAUUAUUAGGGUUUCCUGUCUGCCUGUCCAGAACAGGCCUGCUGUUGGCUGUGUAUGAGUGCUGGGAACUGGUCCCUCUUCUGGCAAGUUCCAUGCCCAGCUUCCGGAUGUUUCUUCACACACAUGCUGAUCAGGGCUCUGGGGAAUACUUACAUUCCCGUGAUCUAUUCUGAGAACUCUAAUUACAGAGCUCUCUCUGUGUGCUCUCAUCUAUGCAGUUCCGUGUUUCCUGGGCUCUGCCUGAUAUAUAGCUCCCUGAAGAUGGCCCAGACGUUCUCUCUCAGAAGCUAGUUGAGACAGGUCUAAGGCUCACCCGAUUUAUUUUUUCAUUUUUCCCAGGAAUGCUAUACUUACUGCCAGGCUGGAAGUUCCAGGGAGAUGUUGUCUCAUUUGUGAUUCUUAUACACAUUGGAAGUUAAAAAAUAUAUAUAACCUGGUAUUUCUCCUCCUCCAUUUUAGGUGGAAACACGAAUCCACCAUUUGCUCUCUAAUCCAGGGAAAUUGUAUGUGGAAUCAUCUUCCAGUGACAGCUAUUUGGCUGCUCUGACCGUGUCUAGCAAAGGACAUUCAGGCAGAGGAAUACAGAUCCCAUUCCUAGUCGUCAUGGCCAUGAGUCUUGGGAUGAAAACAUGCAAAGGAGAGUCCUUUCACAGAGCUAUAGAUGCUGGUGCCUUGCAUGUUUCUAUGGCUGAAGGUGCAGUGCCUCUGGAGGGCCAAGUUCAUGAAAUGAUAGGUUUCUGCCUGGCCUUCUGGGUGCUGCAGGAACUUGCCAACAAUCCAUCCAAGCCUGUGAUUCUGAGCUAACCAUGCUGCUUAUUUGCUAAGUGUGGAAGCGUUUAUGGAGGCCAAGGGGACCCUGUUUAUUUUAAGUGUCCUGUUGUGUUCCAUCAAUGCUAAUGGGGGUUGAGAAGCCAAAUCAGCACACAUUAUAUCCACUGGGAAAUUCACUCUCCAGGAUAUGAGUGGAAAAGUAACAACAGCCUCAACUUUAGGCGAAACUCACAAGGGCGCAAGUUGAAGAUAAUUGGAAAUUGCUUUGGACUGGCUGUGCGCAGAUGGCAGACUUCCUUUCUUACUAGGUGUGUUCUCGCAGAGGUUUGUGCUCACCAUGCACACAUAGUUUUUUUUUUUUUAACUAUAAACUGCUUUUAAAAAUCUAUGUGUGAGGAUAUGCACCCCACUACGGUGUCAGUGGGUACUUCCUUAAAGCAAAGAAGUCCCAUUACCCAGAGGAAUUGACUGACAGACUUCUGCGCACUGUUGCUUCGGUUGGUGGGUUUCUAGGCUGCUGAGAAGUUAACCAUUGUGUGCUUCUUCUGCACCAGGUAUUUGGUAGGAGCCUAAUGGAAGUUAUCCAAUUUAAUUUUCGUAACAAACAAGUAUGAAAAACUCUGAGAUCAUCUUAAAUGGCGAUCCAGAAGCCAUACAUCUUCUCAACAUGUAUCUACUUUCAAAUCCCAGGAUCUUUUAAAAAUAUUUUUUAUUAAUUCUUUGAGAGUGUAUACAUGUAUACAAUGUAUGUUGGUCAAAGUCACCCUGUUCCUCUCCUUAACGCCUUCCAGAUCCACCCACCUUCCUAUUUUUCUCCAGCCACUAUAUCUCUUUAUUCUAUUUGUUUGUUUCAUUUACUUACAACCCACAAAGUAUGAUCGUGUUGCCUAUAUUCAUAGCUAUGAAAGCAUCUGCUGGAGUGUGGUGACCAUGCAGAGUCCAAACCUUCAAAGAUUCUCUUCAAACUGAUUCUCUCUUCCCCAGAAGCCACCAAAUGUCAUUAGCUUCUGUCAUUGGGGGGAGGGGGGAAGGGCAGACUCAGGAUCCCAACCUCUUCCAUGAUGAAAUAUUGGUUGGCUUGAUCUUGUGUAACAGUUAUGUGCACCAACCACAACUGCUGUGAGCUCAUAUGUGCAGGGUUCUAUAUCAUGUGUACAAUACAGUGUUUUCCCCUAGUCUUCUACUACAUCUGGUCCCUAGACUUUUUUUUCUUCCCCUCUUCACAGUUGUUUCUGAGCCUUUGGGAAAGGGGGUUUGAUAUUAAUGUCCCAUUUGUGACAGAGCAUCUCCAAAAUAAUUAUUCUGUGAAUUUUAGCCAGUGUCAAGGUUUCUACAUGACUCACCACCCACUACCCAGUGUUACUUCUCUGAUGAGGUCUAAGAGUUGUAUUAAUCUAUGGGCCUAACAAUACUUGUGUAGAGGGUGGUCUGACACUAUGUCCAUUUAAGAAUAGAAGUAGGUUUACCCCUGAGGAUCAUGAACUCCUCCACCAUGGGUUACUGGCCAGAUGGACAGCAUCAGACACGCAUUUCCUCUUGUACACAGGCCCUUAAACCCAAUCAGAAAGUAGUUAAUUAACCCCACAACAUUUGUGCCACUAGUGUAUGGGUAGACACCAUAGUCUUCAUGGCUGGAUAAGACCACUGAUGGUUUGUCACCAAGCAGCCUGUGCAGCUAUGGUACUCUUAAAGCCAGUUAGGAAGGAAGACUCUUCUUUUGCAGUACCAACUUGAUUUCUCCAAGUCCUGCAUCCAAGAUGCGUACAUUACUUGACCUUCGAUUAUUCCUCCAGAGGAUGCUGCCUCGCCUUUGGACAGGUCUAUACGUACCCUAUUUACCGAAGUUGGGCUCUCUGAGAAAACAAAAAGUUCUCGUUCUUUGGAAUCAGCUAUUGUCUGGAAGAGUGACUUCACCGUGACAACCAUCUACUCAUUAAUUCUGCAGAUAUGCAAUAUAGAUUUUGAAGAGUUUGGGGGAAUAAAUCAAACUAGAUUUUUAAUUCAAUAAAUCUAGUGAUGGUGGCCAUGGAAGAUUCAAAUCCAACUUUUCCUGACAUCUAGGAGUGAUUUCUUUUGAUGAGCUCAGUCUGCAUUUCAAUACGUUUUAGUGUCACAUUGACUACUAGUAGGCUAGUGAACUAUAUUUCUUCCAGGGAUCACACAUGAUAGGGGUUAAAACUGUGGAGUAUGAACUAUUCUGCCCAAGUUCAUUUUUCCCUUCUAGAACAUGUCCACGGGAUGGCGUAUAGAUUACUUAACUUCUCUUUCCCUCAGUUGUCUUCAUUUAUAAAAAUGAAGGUUGAUAGUAAUCACAUGCCUUAUAGAGUUUUCAGGGGGGCUAAGGGACUACACUACCCUCUUAGGAUUCUGAUACCCUUCAUAACAGCUUCCUCCUAAUUCAGGAUUAGCCUUCUUGAAACCAAACUAACUGUUUUCACUGGUGCAGUAUUGCUACAGGUGGAAUAUUUUAUUGAAAAUGCUUGACACUAAAAAGGCUUCACAUUUUAAUUAUGACCAUAUUUAGGAACAGUUUCAUGAACUUUACCAGUUGGCUAGUUCAUUUAGAAAUCCCCAAGUCAUCCCAAAUCUAAAAAUAUCUGAAUAGUGCUAUCUCUUGGGUUUUAAAUGCCCUUUAAAGAACCAUUUUCAUAGGUUUUGGCCCCAUAUCGAUUCUGUAAAUUGAUUAACUCAGGUAUCAAUUACAGUAACAUGAGUGCAAUGAACAUAACUUGGUAUUAUUAAACCACAGACCUUUUCAGAUUGCCAGAUUAAGUAUAUUCACCACAGAUUGGAAGUCAUCAGAUUUCUCUUCUCAGUACAUUGUGACUUCACCUCACUACCCUUCAUAUUUGUCUUAGUGUAGUGGCUUUUGCACCAAGAUGACAUGGAACCAAUUUCUAAUAUAUCCAGAUGGUCUGCAAAUGACCUAAACUUUCAGAGACAGAAUUUCUCAUCUAUGACUGGGAGAUAAAAAUGCAUUCUUCAUCUGGGUUUUGUGAAUAUGAAAUGUGAAAUGACUUGUUACAGACUUAGCACAUUAGCAAUUUUUAUAUGUGAUUAAUAAAAAUAUUAAAUAUCCCAAUUGUCUAUGAGCAUUGACUUUGGAGUCAAUUCUGUUUGUAUAUAAGGCCUUCUUUCACUAACCAAGAGAGUAUUAUGUUUUUCAAGUUAGAUGGCUUCUCUCAAGCUCACCCAGUGCUUCAGUAUGUACAAUAAGACUCGUAUUCCUUAUCUCUCACAACUGUUGCAAAGAAUAAAUAAAUAAUGCCUAUAAAGUGUCAAGCACAAUACAAUACCUGAAAUGUAGUGCCUAUCAGCUACAACAGACACAAGUGCUAUUACAAUUCUCCUUAUUAUUCUUUCAUUUAUCUGGCUAUUACUGUUUCAACACCAUUAUAUGCUUAAAUAUCUUCAAGAUUCUGUACACACAAUCCAACUCACUACAUUUAAAUGGGGGAAGGAGACAUCGUGUGGAUCUCCCAUGUCUCUAGAUCACUAUUCAUCCUGAAAACAACACUAAGUUAGAAUGGACUACUGGAUGUACAAAGUGACUGCUACCAUGAAAACUUAGAUGUGAUUCCGGAAGUUCACAUGCACUUGUAGCCAUAACAGCAAGUUUCUAGGUCAUUCUUAGAGCACAGUAAUAAUUGUAACUGUGUGUUAAUUUAUUAUAGAAAUGUUCCAGUCUCAAGAUCCUAGUGAUCACUAGAAAGAGCGAUGGAGAAGCAUGGUGACAGUCCAAGGCCAGCGAAGCUGUUCUGUCUCUCUCGUGAUGCUCUGGUCUGAAAUACCAGCUCUUCUAUCAUUGAUAUCACAUUAACACAUGAUAUAUAUUAUCUGUCUGUAAUCUUUAAUUUUUUCCAGUGAGGAAGUGGUGACCCAGAAAGGUUAAAUGAAAUAUCUGAAGUCUCAUAUUUGGCUAAUGGAGGGGAGGGAUCAGAUUCUAACUCUUAGACAAUAAUUUCUAUUAUUACUUUCUUAGAAUUCCAGCUGUCACCAGUUUUUAAUUUUUCAGAGAGGUUUAGGGUCAUGCUACAUAGGGUCCUGGGGCCUUUUAGUGGCUGAUCUGAGACUGAGACCUGGUCCUAUUGACCCUCGUUGUACAUUGUACUGUUCUUCCCCAUUGCACAAUGGCAUUAAGAAAAUAUUGUCUUCCGAAUCUAACCGUUGAAAGUUCUGAAGCAUUAUUUUCUACCAUUCACAUCACCCAGUGGUGUUUUAAGCCUGUUUGCCAUGGCAACCAUCAACAUAUUUAGUUCCUCGGUGCAGGGUUGGAACAGCAACUGCAGCUUUGCUAUUGUUCCUGGCAAUGAAGAGGAACGUGCAGAGCCAAAGACCAGUUACCACUAAUCCUCUGCUCACAGUGAUGGAGACCGCUCAGAUGCUGGACCAAAAUCCAGCCUUCUUGCUGUAUGUUAAGCAUUCAGACAAUAAAAGCAGGGUAACAAUGGUAGAUUAGAGUCACCUUGAGCACCUUCCUGUUGCUCAUUGUGUUCUCUGUCUUCUCUGCUUUUUCUUCUUUUUCUUUCUUCUCUGAAUGACAAUAGACCUCAAAGCUACUUUACCAAUUUCAACAAAGCAGACAAAUGCGCACCAUCACAUUCCAAAUCUCCAAGAGACUAAAGGCUGGACUUCUGGAGAAACAUAAAUACAUCUAAAUAGUUUGUUUAUUUUCCCCAUCAUCUUUUAUAUGAUUUGCCUUCUUUUAAUAUCUUUAGCAACAAACCUUAUAUGUGAUGGAGAGGGGUGUCAAGAAUGUUUGGUAUUUCUGCUAAAGAUACGUAGUGCUUGAGAAAGGGUUUGGUGUUGGCUGACCCCUAAGGAGACAAAUUUAUCAGGGGAAGCAAGAGGAGGCCGCCUGACGGUAGCAGGCAGCUAGAAGGCCUGAGGGCUAAAGCCAUUUCUUGCCAUAGUCAUGUGACACUUCAAAAAUAAUUUCCCAGUUUGACAUUACUGAUAAGGCAGCACAUUGUAUUAGAAGGCCCUUCACAAAAAUCCUGGGGAGGGAGGGACUCUACUGUGUUUAUAUCAUGGAUUAUAAAUGAAUACACUAAUUAGCAUUAAGUGGACAAGUUGUGUGUGUGAGGGGGAGGGCAGCUAUCUGGGCCAUGGCUUUGUUCUCCAGCCCAGAUGUUGUGCCAGCUGCAGGGUGAUGAGGGAGCCUGUGGACCUCACCUUCUCUACUUAUCUGGUUCAUAGCUGGAGGCUUCUCUCUUUGGCUGCCCAUCUGGCUCCUGGCAUCAGGAAGUAAAAUUAUUUUUUUUCCAAAUGGAAGGCUUUGAAUCACAGCUGUUAAUUACCAGAUGAUUAUUAAAAACAUAUAUUGCCUACUGAGGUUUGAGGAGACAGCUCAUUCGUGCUGUCUGGUCCACCCUAGUGGCUCCCAGCAUCAACCCAUAUAUGCUUCGUCUAAAAACACACCAUGGCUUUACAGCACAUGCAGGGAACAUGCAAUGGGGAAGGAUAGUGAAGAGACUAUAGGAUACCACUUAAAGUCAUCAAGACAGUCCCUGAGUGUUGACUGCCUUAGCCCAGUGCUGGGAUCAGAUUACAAUUUGGGAGACUUUCAAACACCUGCAGCCCCUCUAAUGGGGCUGACUAGACCUGUUCACCAAUAAUGACCAGAAAGAAGGAAAGAAAAAAGGCCCAGCAGACGGGCGCUAAUAAAUUAUAGAUUUCAGCUGCAUACUGGGUUGCUGGAACUCAGAUGAGAGACAGAUGGAGUCUGCCUGAACAGCACAGCCUGGGGGUGGAGAGAGCAGGCAGGGAGAUGCAGAUACUUUGCAAGACAGAGGAAAUGCCUGGAAGUUACAGCUGGACAAGGAAACAAGAGAGCUUGGGCUUAAAUAGUGUGUUGGAAGAGGAAGGAGAACUCUGAUGCUCUCUACCCAUAGCACACAUGGUCUCAUUCUGGGCUCCUAAGUCCAGGGAACAACAUGUUGUGUCCUAUUACCAAGGAGUUCCCUGUCAUUACUCAAUAUUCUGCAUGCUACUAGGAAUGGUAGGAAAGACUGUCAUUGAAGAUGAAUACUCUUUGUGGAGUUCAUAACCUAAGAGGUGAUAAAGGCUCUAGUGAAUGUGCCAGUUCACAAGCCAAAAAGGACAGCAGAUAAGUGUUGACUUCACGUACUCAAUAAAUGUUUAUUGAAUGUGCAUCAUAAUGUGUGUCAAAUACUGCAUCAAUGGGCACCAUGGGAAAAAAAAUCUUGACUCUUGCUGAGUCUCUGUUUGAGCAGGAUGAGUCAGACAGUAUCAUAUUUGAGGUUUUAAAGUGUAUAUGAUAUUAUAGACAGCCAUGUAGAGGAAAAUGAAUGAGAUUAGAUCCAUCCUGAUGGAGGUGAGCAUGGGUGUAAGUAAUAGGAUCAGGCUAUGGAGAUGAAGUGACAUGAAGAGGUAUCCAAGACAGAGGAUGUGGCUUGCAAUUAAGGUUUGGUAACAGAGGCAAGCCUGGCAUGUUCUAGAAAGAAGCCAGUGGUUUGGGUAGUAAGAGAAAGGACAGUACAAGGGCACAGACAAUAAGGACAGAGAGCAAAAAGAGACCUUGAAGACUGAUAGGAAAAAAUACUUAUCUUCCUAGGUCUGGAACAUGCUAGGCACAUACUCUACUUGAGACUCUAUGUCCAGCUUCUUUUUCACUCUAUUUUUGAAACAGAGCUUAGCUAAGUAGAACAGGAUAGAUCUGAAAUUGCUCUUUAGCCCCCAACGGCCCUGGACUUAUAAUCCUCCUGUCUAAACAUCUUGAGUAUCUAGCAUUGCAGGCCUGCCUAAUACCUUUUUGUUAGAAAUGAGAGGGGAAUCCGUUGAGUGGUCACAAGCUGAGAAAAUACCACUGAGUCUCCCCAUGAUAAGAUCCUGGUCUCUGUGAUGUGCUAAAAUCACUCGGAGAGCUGUUGAGUUGGGAACCACUGUGCCAUUCCUGUAGGUUCAGGGGACUCAGGGCAGAGGUGAGGCAACUGUUCUUCUAAUCAGCCUCUGCAGCUACUGCUGUUGGUCUUGAAUACCGCAGCCUAAGAAUUAAACCAGGUUGUCUGUUGAGGCAUUGCUCACACUAGGCAAGAUUUAGACUCAAGCUGCCUGCUCACUGGUGGAUGUAUGAAUAGAGAAAAUGCUGUCAUAUAUUCAAUGGGCUAUCCUUCAUUCACCAACAGCGUGAAAGUCCAUCAUCUGCAGCAACAUGGAUGCAACUUGACAACAUUAAUUAAUUAAAAUAAAAUGGACAAACAUGCUCUUGCUUGUAUGUGGGAGCUAAGCUGGAUCUCACAGAAAGAGAGGCUUUUCUAGAAUCUGGAAAAGAUGGAAAGGGGAACGAGUAGAGGAAAGGCUGUUAAUGGGUUCUGAGGCACAGGUGGCCAGGACGGAUGGCUUUCUAGUGUUCUCUAUUGUACAAUAGAAUAACCGUGGUUGGUAAUAAGGCUAAUAAUACAGCAUAACUAAUUAGGCAAAGAGAUGAUAUGUGUUUGAGGCAGUUGGUAUACCAAUUACCCUAACUGAAUUUUGAAACGUUGUAUACACAUACUGAAACGCCACUCUAUGUCGCAGAAGUACAUAUGUAAUAUUACAAUGUCACUUAAAAAUAACAAGAAAAACAUGUUUCAGUGAAGCUGUGCUAUAACAGAAAUAAGAGAAAAGAUGAGGAAUAAGGUAUGUGAGACCUCUGCUUACAGGGGGUAUCUUGGUUUAGGGGAUGGAGAGGGUCAUUAAAGGAAAAAAGGCUUCCAUGAACAGUUGAAGAAGGCAUUGUGUUUUCUUUCCUAUUCUACAUGCUGCUGUAGAAUUUAGAGUGGUUUCUGGGUAAGAUAUGGCGCUGUAUAAAGCAUUUAUCUACAGACUUAACCUUUAAGAGUGCUCUCUGAAACCUUAUAUAAGUUGUGGUAAGUUCUAUCGUCUCUGCUACACCUUUUCAAAUUUCCCACUAUUCUACUAUGUCUAAAGCAAAGGGGAGGUCUCUCAAAUCUAUGUCUCCAUUGGUCUUCCCUAGUGUUCAUCUGCCUUUUUGUCUCCUGGCACCUCCUUCCCUUUUGUGGACACUUGUCUGCUGUCUUUGUUGGACAUGAACUUUUUUCUAGGCUGAUUGAUCCUGGCCCAAGGGUGUUGUGAGGGACAGGCUUUUACUGAAGGCUUCAGACAUAAUGUAGUAGCACCGAAAAUAGUUUAAAAAGAGCUACCAAGCAUCACAGCCCUUAAAGUCUUUUCUGCCAUCCCUGUCACUGGGAGUUAGGAAAUGUCCUUUUGGCUAUUAUCCCCCAAACUUCAGUCUGAUGGUUUGUAACCAGGUUCAUUUCUUUCUCCUACGAACUUCUUCUUCAAUACUACUGAAGCCGAAUCCCUCCUCACUUUGUCAGAUCAACUCCAUAAUCUCUCUUCCAUUCCUAUGCAGAGCAGAUUAGCCUGACGCCAUCUACAUCCCCUUCCUCCACUUUGGAUUGGUGAACUGAGCUGUGGGUGCUUCUCCAAGAAGAGCAGUGUUCCUCUAGGAAGGCAAAUACUAUGUUCCCUUGGAACACUUGCCUUCCAAAGCAGUCAAUUUAUAAGGGAGUGCUUUUCUCCCAUUUUUCUAAUUACACACAAGGGAGCAAGGUCAGAUGUAUUUUAAAUAUAUCUUUAAGUGUGGGGAAACUGGAAUCAAAGUAAGAAAAUAAGGUAAAUCCAGCCCACUUAACAGAUGGCUUUAUGCUCCAACCGUCACGGGAAGACAGCUACAAAUCUUGCUUUCCCUCAACUUCAUCGAAACGGGGGUACCAAGCUAUGGGGGGCUGUUUAUGAGUUAGGAAGAUCAGCUUACCACAGCAGAAGGAGUACUUGCUAAUUAGGUGAGUUAGAGGGGGAAGCUGACAAACAUGGGGGUGGUGCGUAGACUAAAUAUGAUAUAAAGCAGCCCCCCUGUAAGGUUUUUGUUCAGAGGAAGAUAGAUUUUAAACAUGUAUCUAAGACUUGAAGGUGGAUUAUCGAACAUUGAGGAUGGAAUCAGGGACACCGGGCAUCUUAGUUCACUUUCUAUCACUGUGAUAAAACAUCCUGACCAAAUGCACCUUGGUGGAGAAAGGGUUUAUGUCAGCUUACAGCUUAUGGUCCACCAUGAAGAGAAGUCAGGGCAGAAACUCAAGGCAGGUCCUCCAUUCAGAUGUCAAACUCAAUAGACUGCAUUCUAAUCUGAAGCUUUUUAUCAUUAUGCAUUAUCACCCACAUCUGUACUGCAUUAUCCCAUACUCCUCUGUGCUAGUGUUAUUCUAUUCCAUGUCAGACAAAAGCUUAUGAUCUAGUUCCUGCCCUCGCUAUGCUUACUCCCUAAAAGAAUACACAACCACAGCCUACAGUCCAGAAGAAAUCACAUACAGGGGCUAGGUCCCAGCUACGAUUUCCAUUGCUAGCAUUUUGGGAAAUAAGCUUGCGGAGGGGAAGAAGUAGAUAACAAACCGGGCUGUUAUCACACUCUCUUUAGACAUACACUAGCACAGCGGAGUAUGGGAUAACAGUACGGAGGUGGAUCAUAGUGUGUAAUGAUAAAAAGCAUGAGUUUAGAAUCCAGUCUAUUGGAUUUGCCAUCUGAAAUGUCCUGGCAUUUACCAGCACCAUGACCUUGAACAAAUUCCAUACCCUCUGUCUGUGUUUUUUAAAUCUGUACAGAGGUUGGUGAGGAGGCUCCAGUGAGUCGGUAUGUAUAAGGAAUGUCAGUGCUAGCAGGGCAGAUGCUUGAAUUCAGAAUGGACAUAGCAGGGCACAGGAAAGGCCCCAGUAAGGGUGCCUGCUCCAGCCAGGUGGCAAAUACAGAUUUGAUAAGGGGCAAGCUAGGUGGCAGCUCCCUGGUCAAGAAAAAAAUGGAGAAAGGUAGUGAAUAUUGGAAGAAUUCCCACAAAACUGCCUCUUCCUGACCCAUCAUGAAGAAAGGGCUCAAGCUUCAGGAUGACUGUGCUAACAGGCCAAGGGGUGGCUUAGCUCCUGGCAGCUUAGAGGUGUGCUCUGGCUGAGGGCAAGGCCGAGGAGGCUGUGCUUAGUCAUAUCUGUGCUUGUAGCUGUUGUGCCUUUAACUCUAGGAGCCCUGGUGAGGUCUGACCCUCCGUUAAUGUCCUUGCUUGGCUUUGCAAUGAAAGCAAAUCCCCUGCAUCAUGGGAUGCUUCAGUUCCACUUUGGGCGGUACCCUCUCUGUCUGUAUCGAUCACCUGAUAUGGACUGAAUGUUUACUAUAGCUACAGGAUCAUUAAACACAGUGGAGCAUCCCAUAUGUAUUGGUGUGGUGGAUUCUUUGGGCUUGAACUUAGCUGCCUGAUGGAACAAUGUGUUGCUAAGAAGAGAGUAAACAAAAACUUGUGUCAAUCAAUCUCUAGCCAAACAGAACAACGCUGGAUGUAUCAGAAUACCUGAUUUCAAAGUAUACCACAGAGCCAUAGUAAAAAGAACAGUGUGGCAUGAGGGAGAAAACAGGUGCAAACACAGGCAGAGUAGAAUCGAAGGCCCAGAAAUAAGUCUAUGCCACCAACACUAUUUUAUUUUCAACAAAGCUGCUGCAAAAUGUUUUAGAAGAAAGACAGCCUCUUCAACGAAAUUGUUUUGAGAAAACUAGAUAUCCAAUAAUUGAAAGGUGAAACUGAAUUUCUGUCUUUCACCCUUUACAAAAUCAGUUUACAGGGGAUGGAAGACCUUAAUGGAAAACCCGACACUACAGAAAAGCACAGGGAAAUCCCUUACAUAGGCACAGGCAAGGAAAUUCGGGAAAGGAUGCCAGUAAACUAGGAAAUACCAGCAAGAAUUGAAGAACAGCAUGCAACUGGAAAGCUUCGCACACAGCACGAGAAACAAACAAGAAGUGGGGAGACCACCUAUAGGGCGAGGGAAAAAUCUUUGACAGCAUUUCAACCUUCAGCUAAUUACCACCUAGAAUACACAAAGAGCUCAAAAUACUUGAAUACCCAAACUAUAAAUAAUCCAGUCAAUAAAUGAUCAAAUGAGUUUGUAGAAUUUUUUUUUUCAAUUGAAGACAUUCCGGGCCAGUAAGUACACAGUUAAAGUGUUCCACAUUACAGCAGUGUAAAUACGAAUCAGGAUCACACGGAGAAUACACUGAGAAAUCAGGAUUACAGUGAGAAUAGCUAUGACCAAGAAAGCAAAAGCCAGUGUAGGCCAUUGAGGAUAAAGAAGAAAAAUCUCUACUGAUGAGGGUGCAAUUUAAGUAGCACACUACACGGGUGCAUAUAUAUAUAUUGGAAUACUCCUCAAAAUAUCCAGGAAAUCAUUUGAGAUUUCCAUCUACUGACAAAUGAAAAGAGAGUACGUGGUAUACAUGCACGCAGGGGGAUUUUAUCCAGACACAAAGAAGAAGCUGGGAGAAACAAUGUGUAGAAGGUAAGAUUUAUCCUGGGUCAUGGUCUCAGGGGUUCCUACCUGUUUACCACAGGAGGGGAUGGGGGAUGGGGCAGCAAGAACAUUCUGGUGAAGCUGUUCUCAGGGCAGGAUACCAAGAAGCAAAGGCACAGAAAACCAGAGGCUGUGCUAUAAUCUUCAAAGAUCCACACCGUGUGACAGCAGCUUCUAUAAAGGAAAACAUUUCAUUGGAGCCUGCUUAUACUUCAGAUGUUCAGUCCAUUGUCUUCAUGGUGGGAAGGAUGGCAGUGCAUAGGCAGACAUGGUGCUAUCUGGAUCCCCAGCAGUAGCGGGGGGGGGGGGUUGAGGGAAAGAGAGAAGAGAGGGAGAGAGAGAGAGAGAGAGAGAGAGAGAGAGAGAGAGAGAGAGAGAGAGACUGGGGGUAUGGCUCAGUGAUAUGCCAACGCUAUAUCUCCUAAGGGUCCUAAACCUCCCCAAAUAGCUUUGCUAGAGGGAGCUAAGGAUUCAAACCAGGGCACCCUGAAAGGCAUUUCAGAUUCCAGUCAUAAUAGGGAUCCUUGGGAAAUGAAACGGGGAGGGGAAGUAAAGGGACCGUGAUAAUCAAGAGCAAGGGAAGAGAUGCAUACGAACAAUACAUGCUACCAAAAUAACAACAAAACCAAAACAACAAAAAAGCAGGCACAGGAAAGAAUUCUCACAGACUUGGCUGCGUCAAAAGUUUUAAACAUGAAAGCAAAAGUGGCUACCUUGAGGAAGCCUCCAGGGACGGCAAGCUAGGGAGCUAAGAUCAGCAGGAGGAAGCUUAUCGCUCUCUGCCCUUCAGCUCCUGUUUACUGGGUUUUGAGUUUUAUAUCUCAAUACUCAUGAGGACACUGCUUAUUUUUUAAAUUAAAAUUCAUCAGGAUAAAGGAAUUUUUGUAAAAUAAGUUAAAUUUCAUAGCAUAGAUUGGUUUGCAAUUUAUACCCAGUUAACACACAAUAAGAAACUCUGUUUCAAAGUAUACAAAGUAUAUGCUCUGGGUGACAACUGCCACAGACACCAAAACAUUUAUCAGCAAUUUCUAGAGCAGCACUUUGCUCAUUAGUAAUCACUUCCCUUUCACUUCCUCCAAAUUCCUGGAGAGCUUGUAUCUACAUUCUGACUGGGCUGCCCUCAUCUGCAUAGUCCAUAUGUAUAGAACUAUUCUGUCUGUCUGUAAUAUGGCUAUGAUAUGAUAUGAUAUGAUAUGAUAUAUGACUCUUCAUGUUUGAAUUCUUUGCUUAGCACAAUGUUGUCAUCAUUCAUGAAUAUUGUAACAUAGCUUGGUGACCUGUGUCCAUUUUCAGCUGAAUGGUCCACUCUGUGAAUGCACUGUAUUUUUUUUUUUUAAUCCAUGCAUGGAGUAGUAGAACCUUUGGGAACGUCUACUCUGGAGCUGUCAUUAAAGACGCUGUUCAAAAUGUUUGCACACAGGACCUACUUGAUGAAAACUUUCAAUUUUCUUUACUUAGGAAAUAUACUUAGGACAGAGUUCCUGGGUUGUGUGGCAAUCCUGUUGAACAUUUUGAGGAACUGUCAACUGCCUUCCAAAGUAGCCUCAGCGUCUUUUCUUCCCACCUACAGGGGAGUCUCUACUUCCCUUCAAACCUUUACUAGUAUCUGUGUCUUCUUGUGAUUUUACUUCACUUUACAAAAGAUUAAUGAUGUUAAGCACAUUUCUAUGUGAGUACUACCCAUUUGUGUAAAUUUCCAAAUCUUUAGAUUUUAACAUGCUCUACUUGAGGUUGGAAUGACAGAUCUCAAUAAAAAAUAUCAGGUGAGCACAUAUCCCCUCUAAAGACACAGAUAUAAGGCUUGAUAGAAUAACACCGGAUUUACAGGGAUUUUUAAACUCCCUGUGUGGUGCUUGAGGUGUGGUGUUUGCGUCCAUGUAUGCUUGUGGGAUGUGUGUGUGUGUGUGUGUGUGUGUGUUUGUGUUUGUAUACAUGUUCAUGGAUCCCAUUGUGUAUAUGUCAGAGGACAAGUGUGGGAAUUAUAUCUCUCCUUGCAAUGUGUGAGUCUUGUGGAUUGAAAUCAAGUUCUCAGGUUGAUAGCAAGUGCCUUUACCUACCAUGUCACCUCACUGACUGAAGAUUAGACUUUGUUACAACACACAGACAGAGGACUGCUGAGAAUAAGGUGGUAAGAACCCUAGCUGUUCCUCCAGAGGACUCGAGUUUGCUUUCCAGCUUCCAGGCCUGCUGGCUCAUAGUCCCACCUAAGGGAGUCUGCCAGUGUUCCUCCAGCCUCCAUGGGCUGGCGGUCACAUAAGUCAGACGCACGGACACAUUCACAUGCACAUAAAUAUAAAAAUUAAAGCAAUCUAAAAAAUAUGUACAGAGAGUUGCCAGGGUGGGGUCAGAAAGAGGAAAGAAUUUCUAAUAGGAAGGAAAGAGUAAGAGUCCUUGCAUUGUAUGUAGAGGAAAACGGAAAAGAGGAAAAGAGCAAAAACGAAAGCCAAGUUAUCUGUACAAACUAGAAAUGGGCUUGCAGCACCUCUGACAGAUCAACAUUCAGAUUCCAGGGUUUCUGUUGGGAUCAGUAAUCUGUCUGAGGUCAGUUUCUCCCUGACGUAAAACACUCUAUGAAAAGGUCUGCCAAUUGCAGAGACUAGACCGUUAGAUCCCACCAGGUCUCCCCUAACGCAGAGUUACACUUAGGGGACCUUUACUCAAAGCUCCAGCACAACGGACCCUAAGUCAGCUCUCUUUGUGUUUUCCAGUCUGUGAAACACCUCUUAUGAAAACAAAAUAGUCUUCACUUAUCAUUUCCCAACCCAGAAAUUAAUAAUAAUAAUAAUAAUAAUAAUAAGAUAAUAAUUAUAAAGCAGACUGACUCCUGUUUCUAACAUCUUGUGGGACCCAUGUCUGCUCUCCCCGCCCCCAGUGCCAAUGUGGACUUUGUCUAUGAUUUUUCAGGUGCAAACUCUUGACCCUGAUUUUAUUCUACUAAGGGGAUGCAGAAGGAAAAUCAGAAGCCUUGCGAAUCCUCCUCUUCCGUGCCUUCAGCUGCCCUCUUAAGAUCUGAGAUGUGUACACUAGUCCCCCUUUCAUGUUGCUCAAAAUAACAUCCUUAGUCUCAUCAGGCAGGUCAGCGCUCCGGCUCCAUGCUGCUCUUCCAUUUGUGAGCAAGAUCAAAGUGCUUCCUUGUAUAUGAUUUUAUUUAAUCAACUCCCAAUUCCUCUAGAAAGGGCUCUUAACUGCUCCUGUUUACCCCUCUUCUUCCAGCUCAUUUUGCACAGCUUCAAACACAACUGACCCUCAUCCUGGCCCACUAAUAGAAAAUUAAGGUCAUGUCUGGGGCACCGAUCAUCACCUUUGCAGACUUGCACACAGGCUGCGCAUGCCUAUGCCAAUCUUUUCAAUCUCCUCCUUGAUUCAGGGGAAGCAGUCAGAGCAGAAUUGCGCCUGCACAUUGGCUGCAGAGCUCCCUUGAAGCAAUCCACCAACUGUUGAAAACUACAUCAGUGACUUAGUCCACCACAUCUAUCUAUGGAGCAAAGAGCACGCUCAACCCAACUCCAGAGAGUUCCACUCCUUCAUAAAGCAAUACCUUUUGGAUUCAGCAUGCUAGUUAGUGCUGACACCUGUCUUUAUACUUCCACAGUGCCUUAGUGGGCGUGGUUAAUGCCUUCAUCUGUUUCUACACUUUGCCAACCUCAUGAGCUCUUAGGUUUGACAUAAGACAAUACUUAGAAAUAGACCUGUGAUUGCUAGUUAGCAGUCUGUUAGUUGCUGAGUUUUAGUGUAUGUGAAUGCAGGAAGUGGUUUGAGUAUAUAGUGAAUAUAUAGAUCUCUCUUUAUAUAUUGUAAUAUACAUAUAUGUAUAUACAUAUAUAUGUAAACACAUGUUCCCAGGAGUGGGUACAACGCCAGAGAAGGCUGUCAGGUGUCCCGCUCCAUCACUUGCCACCUUAUUUCUUCGAGACAGAGCUGUUAUUGAACCUGAUAGCCAGCAGAUCCAAGCAAUCCUCCUGUCUCUGCUUCCCACAGCUGCACAGUUAGCCUGUUUUGGUUGUGGCUUUUAUGAGGAUCCUUGGGAUUUGAACUCAGUUCCUCAGGCUUGUAUAGCAAGUAUUAUUAUCCACUGAGCCAUCUCAUCGUCCUCUGAACCAUUUCUUAACGAGAUGAUCUUGAAGAUAUUUUACUGAAUCUUUGCUGACUUCCAUUUAUUCAUCUGUAAAGUGAAGAUAAUUAAGGGACCUUCUUUUGGGUCUGUCAUGAGAAUUAAUGAGUUAGGAUGUAGCAAGUUCUUAGUACAAUAGAAAGCUUCAAGCUGGUCUUGCAUUGUGUUCCAUAGUCACACAGUUGGUUACUCCCAUGUCUAGUCUUCCAAGCUGGAAACACCAGAGCCGUUGUAAAUAUUCCUUUACUUCUGGUUUCUUCUUGCUGAAUCAAUUGUCCUUUCCCCUGUGUAAUGGAACUCUCCAGAACCCACCAUCUCUGGUCCGUUCCAGUGCCAUUGGUCAACUCAGACUUCCAGAGGCGUCAGUGAUCUUGUUUCCGUUCUCAGCCUCACUGAGGUUAGUCUCUAAAGCAUAUAACCCAUUCCUUCAAAGUGAAUAAUUAAUUUGAACGCCACAUUAACCAUGUGAAUGUCAGCAGGGAAAAACCCUAAGGCACUACACCCAUUAUGGUUUUGAUAAUGGGUUCCUGUCUUCAUCAGUGUUCUAUUGCUGUGAAGUGGACACCAUGGCCACAGCAGCUUCUUUUUUUUUCAUUUUUUUCCAUUUUUUAUUAGGUAUUUAGCUCAUUUACAUUUCCAAUGCUAUACCAAGAGUCCCCCAUACCCACCCACCCCCACUCCCCUAACCACCCACUCCCCCUUUUUGGCCCUGGUGUUCCCCUGUACUGGGGCAUAUAAAGUUUGCGUGUCCAAUGGGCCUCUCUUUCCAGUGAUGGCCGACUAGGCCAUCUUUUGAUACAUAUGCAGCUAGAGUCAAGAGCUCCGGGGUACUGGUUAGUUCAUAAUGUUGUUCCACCUAUAGGGUUGCAGAUCCCUUUAGCUCCUUGGGUACUUUCUCUAGCUCCUCCAUUGGGAUCCCUGUGAUCCAUCCCACAGCAGCUUCUAUAAAGGAAAACAUUUCAUUGGAGCCUGCUUAUACUUCAGAUGUUCAGUCCAUUGUCUUCAUGGUGGGAAGGAUGGCAGUGCAUAGGCAGACAUGGUGCUAUCUGGAUCCCCAGCAGUAGCGGGGGAGGGGGGUUGAGGGAAAGAGAGAAGAGAGGGAGAGAGAGAGAGAGAGAGAGAGAGAGAGACUGGGGGUAUGGCUCAGUGAUAUACUUCCUCCAGAAAGGCCAUACCUACUCCAAAAAUGGCUACACCUCCCAAUAGUGCCACUCCCUAUGAACCUGUGGGGCCAUUUUCCUUCAAAAAAAAAUCACGCUGAUAUUUUUUUCCUGAGUUUUAGUAUUCACCAGGAAGUCUCAUUAUCUCAAGCCGAUAGUGUUGUAUAGGGCAUCAUAUUUACAUAGAUGGUUGUAUGUAUUUGCAGAGGGCACCGAAGUAUCUCAGAAAUGCUUAGAGCUGUGGGCAGUUUCUUUCCACACGGUAUUUAGUAGAAGCCUCGGCAUGCCCUCUGCAUUCUCCUUGUGUGCAUGUCCUUGCACCCAGCUGCAUGUUCCCUUCAUUUCUAGGGAUUCUGCUGUCAUGUUCACUCUCAUGCACCGAGGUAAUAAUCAUUGACUAAUGCAUAGCAUUUGUAUGGAGAGCAUAAUGACUGGACACAUGCUUAUGCCUUAGUUUAGUGAAGGCCAUUUAUAUUGGCUGACAACUGUGUUACUAUUUGAAAAUGCCACUGCCUUUGAACUACAUCCAAAUGCCCACAGGUCACUAGGUGUGUCUGGUCCUUGCUGCAAAAUAAAGAGCUCCAGCUCUUCUUUCCUCUUGUAGCCUCCUAACCACCAUUUCACAUCCUAGCAUUUUAUAACUCAAUUAAAAUUAAUCCUGAAUUGUUCCUUUUAAUAGCUACAUAACUAUAUAUCAUAUAGGUAUACUAUAAUUUAUCUAUAUUACAGUAUUGUUGACCAUUAAGAUUUUCAAUGAUCUGGUGUUAUGAAUGAUACUCUAAAGAACUGUGCUGCACAGUAAUGUUUUUGACUGCAUCAAUAAAAAGUCUUUGGAACCACUAAUUGCCAACUGAAAGUUUACUUAAGUAGCAGCUGACUGCAGAGUCUCUUGUAUAGAUGUAUCCCCACAGCAAAGGGACACUAUGGUGGUACUGAGCAGGGUAGGAAGUCAUGGCGGGAGGAGGACCCAUGGAAUGCUGUAUGAGUCAAAGGCUUUGGGCUCGUCAUUCUCUGCAGCUCUCCUGACUCUGAAGCCGAGUUCCUGGGUGAAUGAGGAACAGUUUUCACUGUCAUUCUAUCAAGAAAUCGCAUUUGAAAAAAAUGCAACAGUCUUUCUGAUAGUAUCCUAGAGCCAGGUGCUGUGCACACAUUUAACCCCAGCAGACAGAGGCAGGUAGUCCUCUGUGAAUUCAAGGAUAGCCAAGGCCAAGUACUGAGACCCUGUCUCAAAACACACAACAAAUGUACAACAAUAAAAGAUAUCCCUGCCCCCAAAUUCCUCACAUGGUAACACAGUAUACUCUUGACCCUUUCUGCUCUUGAUGAAUAACUUUCAACUUAGUGAUUCUGUCUUCUCUCUUUCCCUUCCACCCUCCCUUCCUCUCUUCCUCCCCUCCUCAUUGACUCCUUUUCCUGCCUCCUUAUUUCCCAUCAUUUCAGUAAGCAGGGAUGGUGAGCCAAACACAUGUUUAGUUGUAUGCUCGGCAGAGCAGCCCAGAUGUUCAGGAGACACGGGUCAUCCUAGAGGACAACCCUCAUCAUCUGCAGGGUGCUGUCACUCUCACCUCCAACUGUGCUUUGAAGUUGUUGAGAUUCCCAAAUGUUCCUUGCGCUGUGGCUUUCCCUUAGUUUAUGGCAAAUGUGCUAUCAGCAUUCUGCCCUUUGUUUGACUCUGAGACGUGUCACCGGGCGCAAAUGACUAUUUCUCUGAAAUGCUGAGCUUCCAAGCUAGUCGCUACUCUGAUUAUUGCCACUAUUAAUAAUGUUAUCAAUGAUCCACAUAGAAAUAUUCGCAAUAUCUGUACCAUCAUGUCCCCUGUGCCACCACUCACAAUCCCCGUUGCUAUAUUUCUUUUCAUCAUUUUGUGUGACAGCACCCAGGGGCUGUUCAGACAAUUAGGAUCCAAUAAAAAAAGGAAAGAAUAAUUAAAAUAAUACCAAGAGAAACGGAAACCAGAUGACAAACACUGAAAAAGCUAAGAAAACCUAACCAAGAGCCUUAUUUCACAGUGACAGGUGUUAAUAAGAUCAACUAGAAAUACGGGACAAAACCCUUCCCGGGAACUUGAGAACACUCUCCUCCUUUCUCAUCAGCCUUUUUGCCACUGAGGUCUCAAGGGCUCCUGGAUUGUAUCACAGUUAUUUAGCUGAAGCUGCCAAGAGUGUGCUACAGGAGGAAGGAUGAAUAAAAGAAAGCUCUCUCAGUAUGGGAGCCAGGCUGAAGAGAAGUCUCCCUCUGAGGAAGGCGAGAAUCUGGCAGGUCUCCCAGGCUUUCUUGCAGAAAUACCCGAACUCUGCAACAGCUUUGCAGAGUUGAGAAUUUCCCCUUUCCCUAUCUUAUAUGCUUUGGUCCUCAGUGGCUCCAUCUGAAAAAUGGAUAUAAUAUUGGGGUGCACAACUUAAGAAAAACAUCAAGUGAAAGACCUGCCGAUGCAGAGAAUAGGAACACGGUGGUCAUUUUGAUGAAGGAAAUUGGGAUUAAAAAGCUGAGUGGGGGGUCUCGGCAGUGAAAGCCUGCCCUGCUUUUUCAGAAGAGUAGAGUUUUCUGGGUGACUCAAAACUGCCGGUCGCUCCAGUUCCAGGGCUCUGACCUCCUCUUCUGGCUUGCCAUCUGUGAAACAAAAUCAUGUAGGAAAAAUCAUUCAUGCCAGUUUAGUUUCGCAUAUGCCCUAACCAGGGGCUUGAUUCUGAAGUAAGAACACAUGUUUGAGUGUUCCUGUCAGUACAUGCAUAGUUCCUGUCCCUGGGUAUCAUGUGCUUCAUCAUUGUGAUUACAUAUCCUGCUGCUCCUUGAUUCAGCUGAUCGUGUGACUAAGGUCAGUGUGGCUGGGCUCUUCUUGAAUGAGAUGGAGAAGGCAAAGGCCGGAGAUUGCCAGAGUUUAGGCUUCCCCAAGGUCAGUGUGGUAAGUGCCUAUCUCCAUGGCGGUGCCAUCAGGAGCUGGCUGAGCCCUACAGAGGAGACCUUGUGUGAGGUCUUCAUGUUGUUGCCAUGCCCCUAAGUAGAUAAGGUAACCAUGGCCACACUUCUUUCUAUUGUUUUCUAGUUCACUUCCUAGUCACAAGGUGAUCGAUUUUGUGAUGCCCGCCCCCCCCCAACUUAUAACUGCUACAAACACUAAGCAAAUGGAUAUUUCAGCAUGACAAAACUCAUGCGUGUAUAUUAAAUCUUAAUAAACCAAUAACAGACUGUAAUCUCCAAAACUGUAAGCCAAAACAAACCUUUUUACUUAGUAAGUUAACUAGCUCAGGUAUUUUGUUACAGUAAUAGAGAACUGAUUGGCAGAAACUUUGGCCACUUCUGUGGUUUCCUUUCAUGAGAUAGUAUUUCUUUUUGUGGAUGUACUUAACGUAGUGUGAUCAUAUCAUCCUGCACUCACCUGCUCUGAGUCCAAGAUUCUUUUCAGGUAAUAAUAAAAGAGCAUGAGGCAGGUUGGCCCACCAGGUCUCUCUUCUUUUUUGUUUCACAGAUGAGAAACGGAGCGCUAGGAAAGGUGACUUGUCCAAAGUCACAGUUCUCAGUGGAUGUUCCACUUGUGACAAGCCUGCACAGUCAAUUCUAAAAUCCAAUGUUAUUUCUAGGUCACCAAAUCACCCUGUCUCCAGAAUGACAUGAAAUUAGUUACCCUAUCCUCCUCAGACGCGAGCAUACCCUUCCUGUCUUCCAUGCCUGCUCCACCAGGCCCAGAGCUCACCAGCUCGUAGCAAAUUCAGCCUAUUAGGUGGCUGAAAACCGCAUCGUCUGAGGAGUAUCAUACUGUCCUUUGCGCGCUAAGCUGCCAAGCACCUUGGAAGUGGCAGGCCAGCUUCACCCACGCCUCCCUUAUCCAUCAGCCCAGCCAUCGUGGCUUCCUCAAAUGGAUUUUACUUUCCGUUCCAUCUCAUUUGACACUUUAUCAGCUGGAAAUGGCUCUGCAGUGGUAUUCUGUCAGCUCCAUACCUGCCAGAAACUUCUUGCUCUCUGAAAAGAUGGGGAGGGUGCGGUGAAGGAAGAGAAAAAGACACGCAGUGCUAAGCUUAACUUGGGGAGAUGGCAGAGAAUACCUCCAUCUUCUCCUGUGGUGUGUUGCUGCUGCUGUUUUGGGGAGCUUUGCUGCUGUUUAGUCUGCUUAAUUUUUGUUUUUAAUUUUAACUGAGAGUAGUGUACAAAAAGAAGGGAGAAACAGCACAAAUGAAACAAGGAAAACAUUUUUUUUUCCCUAUUUCCAUUUUGGAAAGCGGCUUCUCAAGUUUAGCUGAAAAUUCAGCCUCGUCCUUCAUGUUCUUGUGGCUUACGCAUGAAGAGACAUGCCAGAGUAUGAUCCCCACACAAGCAUGUGUCCUCAGGGAGUGUGGAGUGGCACUUGGAAUCUGACACGAGGCCCUUAUAGGUUCUCUUAGAUCCUUUCUCCACAAGUCAAGCUGCUGAGCCAGUAGCAUCUGUGGUGGGUCAGGGAGGGAGAUGACGGGCUGAAGCACACAGGGGGAUUUCCACACAUUCCUUCCUAACUUAUUCCCGAGAGAUGGGUUCUAACUACUGCAAGUAAGAAAGGUUUGGAGAGGAUGCCAAGGGGUUGGAAGGAUGCCAGCAAAUCAGAGCUGAGGACGAGCCGCAGGUGAGACUUCAGGCUGCACCCCACCACUCUUCAGAGACCAACCAUCUCUGGGGCCACACACCAGAGUUCCAAAAGGACCUCGACACCUAAUUUCCAUUAGCGUAUCUGCACUCUUCUGCCUCUUGGUAGAACGGAAACCAGGCGUGGUAUUUGCUUUUGGUCCGCAUCUAUUUUUAUCCGGUAUCAACUGUGUUGAUUUUCGCAAUGCUUUCUUAUUUGUCAUCUCCUUUGCCCUCUGGAGCUCCGAAAAGAGCAGCAGAGCUGUUUCAGCGAUGCUCAUUGGAUCCCGGGAAAAGAUGGAUGGCUCUGGGUGUGCAGAAACCUGAGCUCUGUCUCCUUCUCCCCUCUGUCUCCUUCACGCACCUCUCCUCGACACCGUUGCCUCCAAAAGAUCUUCCACUUGGAAUCAGAUGUUUGAUUUCUGCCCGGAGUGAGCACGUUGGGAAAUGUUCCCAGGCUACUGAGAAACGCUGUCCAAGUUAUUAAUACCCAGAGCAGGCUGACAACCGGGCCCCAGGUUGCCAUCCUUGGCCUUUUUCUUUCCUUUGUUCUAUUUGGCUUCACAACUUAAAUGGUUUCUUUUUUUGAUAUGAAAAUUAAUUUCUGGACAAAAAGAAAUAUACCUGCACCGGGGCUAAAUUUGUGUUGUCUCCCAGCACGGCUGUAAUUACACUGUAGAUCAAACUGAUGCUUUCGUUUUCCGUGGCUUUUCCCUCUCUUGAUGUCCCUGAAGCUGCCAGGAUCGCCGGCAGCGGCAGUUUUCAUUAGCAGGGAGCAAGGGGAUGCGGAUGGAUGGCCCAGGUUAGCCAUCAUUCCUCCCUGUCUGUCUUCAGAUUCCUCUUUGGGAUGGGCAGGUGCAAUCCAGACAAACGAAGAGCCCCAGAAUUCAGACUCCCAAGCUUCUUUCCUUGGUGUCGGGAUGUAAAGAGAGGAGCCCCCUGCUUCUGUUGCCUGCUCCUCUGAGGAAUUUAGAAUGCCUUGCCUGCCUUUCCCGUGUCAGCAUUGAAGAGCUGACACAUCUCCCAAGGUCUCUACAUCUCUCCCGUUACCUUCCUUCCUAUGAGAGAUCCAUAUUCACUUGAGGACAGUAGAGCACUCUGAACAGGGUCAAAUCAUCAGAAAUGCUGGUGACGAGGGAAGUAAACCCACCUUCUUACACCCAGGAGUGUGGGGGUUUGACAUUUCGGUCUAACAGAAAAACUCAGUGUUUUGGGAUGAGUGUGGGUUUAAGGCCUCCCUCAGACAGGGUGCCCUAUCAAGUGUGGAAUCUGCUAUUCGCACCCCGGCCUCAUGUGUUCUUAUUUACAGUGCUCUCAUAGUAGCCACCUCAUGGCUGCCGUGAGAACCUGCCUUGUGACUGAGCACAGUUGUGAAGGCCUCACCAGUUACUUAAGACUCGUGCUUCUUCGGGAAAGCUGCCUACAUUUCUGUGCCUCGGUUUCCCCACUGGUGAAAUGAGAAUACGUGUCUUUGUCUCAGAAGGUGUUUGUGUGGAGAGUUACUAUGAAACUGAUCGACAGCCCAAGGCAAGCGCAGGAAACACUCAUACUGCACACCCAGUGUACAUGUUCUCUUUGCAUGGAAAAUGUGAUUGUCAGCAUCGGUAUUAUAUUGACUUUAGUUUAUUAUCCAUAAAAUGAAUAGUUCUUAUCUACUAAUUGGAUGAGAGCAUUAUAUCAGUUAUACUGUAUGUGGUUUUAAAGGAUUGUACCAAAAUCCAUGAGUUGUGUUCUUUAUUUUCAACUUUUUUUCUUGACCCUAUGAGUAAGUCUCUCUCUCUCUCUCUCUCUCUCUCUCUCUCUCUCUCCCUUUCUUUCUCCAUGCAGUAAAACAGAGCUGCAGGCAGUCAAUUUGGAGUCAGUGGGCUGUGUAAAGCAGCUAGAAUAAUAGUUUAUUGACCCUGAAUGUGGCAACUGGAACCGAGGGCAGGCUGGGCUCUGGGAGACAUAAUCGCCACAACAGAGAUUUGAACAUCUUUGAUCAUUUUUGUGACCUUUAAGAGACAAGAUGUCUAGGUGGACCCUGGUGAGCCCCUACAGAAAGCUGAAUGAAGGGGGUGGCUUCAUGUAGGAGGGGCUGUUCUAAUUCUGAGAGACACUUCUGCUCUGCACCCCCAAAAGGAGGGGAUUGCCAUCCGCAGAGUUUCUGCCUACCUGCACUCAGAAGUCUCUGUGCUUUAUUAGUGACAUCCUCAGAGCCACUGAAAACAGUCUUCAGCAAUGGGGCUCUCUUUGUCCUUCACUCAAGUGAAUCCCACAUCUGGGGACAGUCUUCAUUGUGUGAUAAAAUGCACUUUCUAAAACAAACUUAUCAGUAGCAUUUCAGCAAUGGAAAUGUUUUCAUUGAAAGUGGAAUUGUAACCGAAUGGCUGAAAGCCAAACAUAAAAAAGAAAUACAAGGACUUUAGCAAAGAAUGAAUGAAUGAAUGAAUGAAUGAUAGAAUGAAUGAUUCGCUGCAGUUUUAUUUGUAAAUGAAAUAUAGUUGAAAAAUAUGAGAAUAUAUUGUCAAAGAAUUUCAUCAACGUAAACUUCAGACCCAAAAUAUAUAAAGUUGAGGGAAAUUGAUCACAGCCUUUAGAAAAUACUUCCAGGUUAUACACUGCAACUUUCUUCCUUGUGUUCCCUCUUGGCAUCUGCAUGGAUUUAUUUACUGUGUGCUUCUUUGCUUCCAUUCUUUCUAUAGUGUGGAGGCUGUAGAUUUUUUUCCUUCAUUUUAAAAGCAAAGUACCAGUACAAAUAAAGAGCCUGUGUGUCUUUUGGCGUAUUUGUAAUCUGAAUUAUGAAGUUGUUUUUCCAGGGGCUAGUCAAAUAACCUAUGUGAAUUACAUGGAGUCUCUGAUAUUAACCAAGCUAUUUUCAGCAUUAGAUAAAAAGGGCAUUUUCAUUAGUUGAAGGGUAUUGUGGACUCUGUGGCAAAUAUUUGGAGGAAAGGGGGGUUAAUUAUUUCUUUUUAUUUUUCCCCACUUAAAAUAGAGAAAGUCUGGUAAACACUCUAUUAUCCAGAAGCCAGAAGAUUCCUUUGUGAAUAAUGCAUGUAAAUAGAACUGAUUGCUCCGGGAGAAAUGAAGGGUCCCAUACUUAAGGGAAGUAGAAUGCAGGUGAAGGACAAAAGCCGAGGAAUGGAGUGGCAUUUUGCUGUGCAGAACAACAGUUUGGUUCCUGCCCAGAGUUCCUGCAUUGGCUUCUCUCACUGACGAACACGCCAUAAGGUGAAAUCAACUCUUUCCUCCCCAAGUUGCUUUUGGUCAAUGUCUUUAUCACAGCAACAGAAAGCAAAUAAAUACAUCUGGCUUUGGAUUUUAUUAGCUUAUUUUAUUAGUUAACCCUGUUCUUUGGGGGCGGGGUAUUUGGGUUUUUUUUGCUUUUUGGUUUUGUUUUUGUUUGUUCCUAAGUAUUUAGAACAGUAACUUUUGACUGGGUGGUAUCUAUUUCUGGUAGCUAGUAAUUAUUUAAGCACUGGCUUUCAUAGAGGUAAAAUGGAAGAGGGAAGAACUUCAAUAUGACUUUUUAUAAAAACCUGAGGUGUCAAAUGGCUACAGGAAUUAUGAACCAAAGCCAGUUCCACCAGUUUAGCCUUUGUGGUAAUUUUCCUAAAAGGGAUAAUUCCCUGUGUGAAUUUUAAGGAACUCAGAACCACAGAUUCAGUAAAAGUUCAUCGGCGGUAGGUAGAGUUCCUACCAAGUGCUUGGUCAGAAUGCAGGCAGGCCAAGCAGAGCGAAGACUGGCCUCAUUGUCCAAUCACAGGCAGAUGACCACUGACUCAUUCCUCUUCUUCAGCCCGAGAGGAGUAUGUGAUGAGCAUCAACGUUGGGAGACCUUGUGAGAUGGCAGCAGUCGUGCAUGUUGUUGUUUUGAAACCAAGCACAGGACACUGGGUUCUUUACGCGCAUGGGCCUUUGGGAAGAACUUCCACAUCCAGUGUGACUACCCCAAGCACACAGCCCUUAAUCAUUUGAACACAGAGACCCUGUAGUCACCUGCAUUUCCCUCUGGUGGGCACUGAGUCUCUCUAUUAACCUGCCAGCAUCUAAAUUGGCUCUUCAGUUGAAGCCUAAAUGACUGCUUAUCCUAGAAGCUCUUCAUGUUCCAAAAUUAGCCCACAGUUGAAGAGCGGGUCAUGUUGCUUCCUGUCUUGGGUGAUAGCAACUUUCUCUGCCACUGGAAGCACAUCUCUUAACCUUUCCUGACUUCCCCAUCUGUGAUUUGCAGUUAAUUAUUCCGAACAUUAAGGGGCUAUGGAGAGGAUUAAUUUGUUAAUGUUUGUAAAGUACUUUAGAUAUGUAAAGUGCUAAGUAUUUCUAAAUUCCACACAAAUAAAUUGCAAUUUGGGAUCUAA